UACCUGUUAAUUUAUAAUACAUACUGUAAAAUUUCCAGACAAUUCAAAUCAAAAGGAAGGUAAAACGAAGAAAGUGUCCACAGACAAUUUUGUGAACAUUCAUGGGGGAUCAAUAUCAUGAGUAGGCGAGGAAGAAACAAUAACAGAAGCUAAAAUAUAAACCGACACCCUGGGUUUAGAUUACUAGAUACACACACAAACACACAUUGUUGCCUCGAUUGUUUCCUCUCCACCGAUCAACCCACGUACGCAUGCACACAAGAUGAGUAUCUUCACUUCUGCUCUGCUCUAGUUAGACUCGAGCUGCGCGUACCACACACCCUGGAUCUUGACAUCCUUGGGCGCCUUGGCGCCGAGGUCGGUGUCUGACGGCUGCACGCUCUCGAAGACGCCGAUCACCUCGCCGGUCUCCGGCUUGCUCUUGGUGACGCUGAGCGUGAUGUUGCCCGUGGAGGAGGACGCGUUCUUCACGUUCUCCUUGGCCAACUCCUCCUCGUCUCCUCUGCCUCCGGCGGGUAGCGCCACGGCGUUGUCGUAGCCAGUAGAGCCACCACGGCCCUUUGGGUCGAGGAAAGACGAACCCCUGUAGCUGGGCACGAGGAAGGGCCCGCUGAAGCUCUCGGGCUUGCCGGUGGCGACGAGCUGCUUGACGGUGAAGAGGAAGGGCACGCGCUCGCCUCCGGGGAGCUGCACGGUGACGGCCGCGUAGUCGAUGCCGUCCUUCUCCUCGAACUUGAGGGUGCCGUCGGCGCCGACCUCGAGCGGGCCUUCCAUCUCGUCAAGGGUGUAGGUGAGACGGGUCAUGAGCUUGGUCUUCUGGAAGGCCGGCGGCUCGUUCUUCUGGAUGCCCUCGGCCUUGACGGUGAAGGAGGUGGGCUCCAGGCAGAACUUCUUCAUCUCGUACUUGCCGGCCUUGAAGGGGAAGGAGUCGACGCCGCCGUCGAUGGUCGGGCACUGGUUCGCGGUGCCGGUACCCUUCACCUCCAUGUAGGUCUUGCUCUGGAUCUCGUCGAAGGUCAGCCUCUUGGGCGCCCCCUCCGCGCUCGCGCCCUGCACCCACGCGCGUCACUCUAGCUAGCUGGACUGGACAGGAGUAAAAGGCCAUGGACGGGAAUAGAAUGGAUUAGUCAGCUUACGGAGACGAGGAGGGCAGAGGUGGCGAGGGCGAAGCCGGCCAUCUUGGCGGCGUCGGCGCACUUGCUUGCGACCUCCCUGAUGUCGGACUGCAGGGAGCAGGUGAUCCUGGCGCCAGCGUCGACGCCGAACGCCCGGGCGACGUGCGACGACGGUCGCGCGGAGGAGGCCCGGCCGCCGAUCUUGGCCGGCAUCAGCGUGGCCGCGGCUUGGAGAGACGCUGCCAUGUUGGUCGGUGGCUUGGUACGCGGGAGGAUCGAUCCCACUCGUGGUUGAGAGGCGUGUUGUCAGGGCAGGCAAGUGUUAUCUAUGCGAGGCGCGGAUAAGAGACGGCCUCCCAUUGGUGGCUUCCGGAUAAGAGUAUCCAUUUGUUCCCAUGCACGCAUACGCACCAGCCAGUCAUUCCGAGAGCUCCUCGCUGGCGCCUUAUGCGCCAGCAAACGAACCCAGCGCCCACGGGCCUGGUCAUGUGGGCUGGCCCAAAAACGAGCCGCGCAGCUCGUUCAACGUGCGCCUUUCGACCAUCGCUUCCUGUUUCUAACACAAAAGGACGAUCGCAUCGUGGUUCACUUCUCGUGGUUGACCGGUCAACUGUUGAUCGCUAGCUCCUUUUCCUUCGUGCACCUUUUGUUCCUUCGUUUUUUUUUUCUUUUUUUUUCUGUUGCUUUGUUCACAAAUCUCAAGAACACAUGGAACUGAAAAAAAUUACGAAUUUCAAAAACAGUUCACUAAUUUAAAAAGGUUCAUCAAUUCUAAGAAAAGUUAAUCAAAAUUUGAACACAAAAAUUGGGAAAAGUUCAUCUAAGUUGAAAAAAAUUCAUCGGAUUUGAAAAAAAGUUCAUCGGAUUUGAAAAAAGUUCAUCGGAUUUGAAAAAAAGUUCAUAGGAUUUGAAAAAGUUCGUCGAAUUUGACAAAAAGUUCAUCGAGUUCGACAAAAAGUUCAUCAAAUUAAAAACAAGUUCACCGAUUUUUGGAAAAAGUUCAUCGAAUUUGAAAAAAGUUCACCGGUUUUUUUGGUCGCCUUUGAAAAAGUUCACGAAUUUUAAGAAAGAGAAAAAACAAAGAUAGAAAAAAAGAAAGAAAACUGGAAAAACAGAUGCCUUUUUCUCGUUUUAUAAAGAAAAUAAAAAGAACGAUUCUACAACAUGAGGUUAUCUAGUCCAACUGGUUGGUGCGAUCGCUAGCUAAACGAACGGGCGGGGUUCGAGUCGCGGCAGGCGCACCUUUUUUUUGGGGUUUUCAAGAAACAAACAGCAAAGCAGGAUGGGCCGGCCCGCUAUGAAACCAAGUGUAAAACGGGUGUGUGCGCCCUGUACGAAAUGGCCUGUAUAGGAUUCAGCUGUCAUUCCCCCUCUGCCGAUCCAGCACCAGCCACAAGGUUGGGCCGCGCCCAAAGCGCGCGCCGGCGCACUUGGCCCGUCGCUAUCACCGUCCUUGCAGCCCGUACUCAUCAUUGUCAGCUGACCAGCUGCGAAGCCGCUAUUGUGCCACGCACCAGCUGCUCGGCACGGCCGAGGUGCAGUGAUCUUUGCCGCCAUCCAGCACGAGGCACUUGGGGCUGGACCAAAAGCUUGUAGCUCGCGAGCUUAAUGAGCGCUCAAUAGUUCAGCUCGUUAAGUUCGGAGCUCGUUUCUUAAUGAAUAAAGUCAAUCAUUGAUUUCAGCUCGUUAAGCUUAACGUGCUUAACGAACGAGCUAACGGGUUUCACGAGUAGCUCGUUAAGCUCGUUAGUAACAACAUAACACAUAUUUUCAUCUUACGUGAUAAACUUUUUGUAGUAUUUUAACCCAUCAUUUCAAUCUGAAAAAAGUCCAAAACAAACCUUCAAUUUGUAGGCGAAAGCUAAACCAAACCCCGAACUCCCAAUCCCUGAAAUGAGCACACCAAACUCUCUAAUCCCGGUCUAUUUUAAACCUGGCAGGACGUAGCCGGGAUUUGCUCAAUUGGGCCGGCCCAGUAGCGCAGUUACUCGCGCAAGCGAACUAAUCUGGUUUUUCUUAGUUUUUUUCUUUUUCGUUUUCUUUUCAUUUUUUUAUUUUUACACAUGACUAAAUUUCUCAGUACCCAAUGUACAUUUUUAACACACACAUUAAAUAUUUUUGGAUAACCUUUUGAUAUUUUCAAAUACAUUAUGUACAUUUUUAAAUUAAAUGUUUUCAAAACAUUUUGAAUACAUGGUAAUAUUUUUCUAAAUACAUGUUUUACAUUUUCUUAAUGGCAAUAAACAUUUAAUAAGACUACACGAACACUCUUUUACAUGGUUCAACAUUUUUAAAUUUGCUUACACUUUUUUCAAGGACAUGGUACAUAUAUUAUGUUAAGGUUAUGACACAUUUUUUUACAUCACGCAAACAUAUUUUUACAUUAUACAUACCUUUUUUUUUAAAUGUCACAAACACAUUUUUUGAAACUCCUGAACAUUCUUGAAAUGUUAAAUUUUUUUGAAUGUACAAAACAUUUUUUGAAUCACACGAAUAUUAUUAUACAUUGUAUAAACAUUUGGAUUGGCCCAUACAUUUUUUUAAACUUGUGGUAUUUUUUAGAUGUCACAAAAUAUUUUCAGGUUUCAGGAAAUGUUUAUGUAUCAAAAAGUGUCUGCACUUUAAAAUUUUGUUCAGGUUGCAGAAAAAAUUUAUGUUUCAAAAAGGGUUUGCACUUUAAAAUUUUAUUCAGGUUGCAAAAAAUGUUUAUAAAGGUGCUCACUUUUUCAAAGUUGAUGGUUUUUUAAAAGUAUUCGAAAUUUCAAAAAGAGUUCGCACUUUAUAAAAUGUUCAACGAUUUCAUAAACAUAUACAUUUUCAAUACUUGUUUGCCCCUAAAAAAUGUUUUCAAAGUUCGACGCUUUGGUUUCUGAUUAAAUAUUCUGGGUCUCUGACUAUGUCAGUCAUAGUCGUUUGCUGUAGUGGCUACCAGGUCCCAAGUUCGACUCCACGACAUGUUUUUUUGUUUUGGAAUUAUUACGUCGCCCGUUAAGAAAAAGAAAGAAAGAAUUUUUACGUCGCAUGUUAAGGAAAAAAAACUCGCUUCACGUCUGGUGGGUGGCCCAGUCGAGUUCACUGCCAACAAUCCAAAACAUUUUUUAAAUAAAUUAUUUAUGAAAUAAUUUACUAAAUUCCAAAAACACUAUUUUAAAAAUGUGACACAAUUUUGAAAAUACAAAACAUUUUUAAAGCAUGUGAAAAACUGUUGGAAUUCUGAACAUUUUUUGACAAAUGUGAAAAUUGCGAACUGUUUUUAAACAUGCUAGAGUUUCAAAAUUCCAACCGUUUAAAAAACACGAAACAAAUUGAAUUUGUGUGAACAAUAGAAAACAGGAACAGUUUUAACUUCUGAACAAUUUCAGAAAUGUGCAGGCAUUUUUUAAACCUCACGAAUUCUUGUUGUGUUAUAGUGGGCCGGCCCAAAUUCUUGUCCGUGAAAGUAGCUGGUAAUCCCGGCCGGGAUUGUAGUAUUCCUAGUGUGCCAAACAGGUAUCGGGUCCAAAAUAGACCGGAAUUAUAAGUUCAGAGUGCCAAUUUCUGGGAUUCAAAGUUCAGGGUUUGAUUUAGCUUUCGUCUACAACUUCAAGGUUUAUUUUGGACUUUUUUCUUUCAAUCUAAUUGACAUAUGAGGCAACAAACUAGUGCAUUUCUUUUUGUAGUCACCAUAUUUUAUCUUAAAAACCGGACCUACACAUUCAUCAUGUAUAUCACAACACAUUAUAAUCUGUUGACGAGCGCUCACGAUCUUAACGAGCUUCAAACGAGCCGAGCCGAGCAAUGUUUUCUGCUCGUUAAUCUUAACGAGCUUAACGAGCCGAGCCUUAACGAGCACGAGCUUAACGAGUAUGAGCUUAACGAGCCGAGUUGCUCGUUAGUCCACCCCUACGCACAGCGUGUUCCCUUAAGCCAUGAAUGGACAUCCGCCAUGAACGCCAUUGUGCGGAACCGCCCAUGCCGCCGGCCUGGCUUUAGGACCUCCAUCCUCAGUCCGUGCUCUGAACGGCCUGGCUUUAGUGGCGCAAUCACCACGAACGCCACGGCUACGCACUCAUGGUCCGCAACAGCAAUCAAAUCAAUCCAUUAUACACAAACAUUAAACCUCACUGUACAGUUUCUCUUUCUCUCUCAGCCAUCCGUCGCUGACGAGAGCCACCGGCGUCCCGCGCCAAGCCGGCGGCACAAAGGGAAACUGAGAACAUCAGCCUGUUCUUCAAGGGCUAAGAGUAUCUACAACCAUGGUAACGUAAUUUGGUAUCCUAUAUACCCGUGGGAGUGUCGGGGCGUGUCCGCUGGCAGUGCCCGGACAAUAUCCACUUUGCCCUAUCCACAACCACAAUCAUCAAAUUCAGAUACCCUAUUUCAUAGAAAACCAUACAGUCUACGUAAAUCAAAGAGAUAGCAUAAAACGUAAGCAAUUCGGACAUCGGAAUGCAAUUUGUUCAUCCAAAAGGGUCGAGAUAAUUCAAAACCAAACUAAAACGAUAAUAAAAUAACUAGAAUAUAAAUAUACCAAGACACGUAGCCGGAGUUCACCACUUGGCCGGUCCUUGCCCUUGCGGUCGCGGCAUGGCGUCCGUCUUCUUCGUUUACACAUUUUUUUAUAAAGGGCGCUUUUAUUAUCUCGAAAUGUAGCAUCAAACCGAUACAAAGCAUUUAGAGUAUCACCCGCCUUUGCAUAACUAGGAUGCACACAACCAAACACCAAAAAUCUGAUAAAAAGGGAAGAAAAUGGCAAUAGUAGAGUCCUAUAGACCGACACUAUGCCUAUGUCGAAACGGUUGGUGGACCGAUCCGGAGAUUAUGCUGCCAUCCAUGUUGGGUAAAAACCUCCGUAGCCACCUGCUCCAACCGCGUAAACACCGCCUUGAAUAGCGGUUGGUACUCCGCAUGUUGUAGCAUAGACCACAUAUGAAGCGAGUGCGUACAACGGAAGAUAACCUGCAGAGGAGAAGCACUUUUGUCAUUAAAAACAAAAUCGUUUCUACAUAGCCAAAGAGACCAUAGUAAGGCAUACGCUUCCACCCUUAUUAGCGUUUGAACCUAUUUGAAAUACCAUCCAACCAAUGACCAAAAAUAUUGGCAACACUUGUGGGCGAAUACAAAUUUGACGCUAUUUGGAUGAUUGACCACGUAGAACGCGUAAACUUGCAUUGAAAAAAAGGUGUUUGAUUGUCUCGUCAUGAAUACAAAAACAACACUUCCUAGUUCCUGGCCAGUAGCGUCGUGCGAGGUUGUCUUUGGUUAGCACAACACCUCUACGAAGAUACCACACGAAUAUUUUCACUUUUAGUGGAAUCUUUGCCUUCCAGAUUUUCUUGUUAUUGCUCACCGGUACCUCAGAAUGCAUGAGCGCACGAUACAUAGAGUCUACCAUGAAAGACCCCGAUGUAGUAAGGUUUCAGCGGAACACAUCACGGCCUUGUGUCAGGUUAAUCAGAUCCAGACGGGAUAAGAGAUUAUGCCAUGACAUAAGUCGGGCGCCAACUAAAUCCCGCCUGAACGAAAUAUUCGUCGGGGAUGAGCUAAGCACAUGCGCAAUGGUAUUGUUCUUAUCGCGAGCAAUGUUGUACAAACCUGGAUAUUGUUCUCGGAGACUGGCAUUGCCUAGCCAGAUGUCUUCCCAGAAACGAAUCUCCGACCCAUCCUUUAUCGCAAAAGACCCAAAGCGGAAGAGUUGUUUCUUUGCCGCCAUUAGGCCAGCCCAAAAGUGUGAGUCGCCAGGUUUCCAAUAUGCCCGAGACACCGCCUUUUGUCCUAGAUACUUGUUGCGCAGCAUGGUUUGCCAAACACCAUCCUCAGUAAGAAGUUUACACGUCAGCGGCAGGAGGGUCAUCGUCGUCCGUGGUGGUGCCGCUCUCCGACGCGGAUGAAAUGUAGCCGGAGAGGUGAUAGAGGAGGUACUGUUGCUCCUUCGCGUUACGGGCAGCCUUGGCAGCGGCGGUCUCCUUCUCCCAUGCGAAGCGCUCGGGCGCGAGCGCCUUAGCGUUCUUGCAUAGGAGGUGCCGCGCAUCGGAUUCCACCGUGGUCAGCGACCGCGACAUGAUCUCGUGGAGGAGUGCCUCCUCUGGGUCGACGGGGACGGAGCGUGCUUGCUUGUGGGAAGAGCUGGGCUCCGCCGUGGCAUCGUUCGCCUCCGCCUCUGACUCUGGCAUGCGCAAUCGCACGAAAGCCGUGGGCACGAGCAUCAACCUAUGCCCGGGCGGUGCUGGUGCCGGAGGGAAAGGUGAGACUCCUGCCCUGCUCCGAAACAGGAGCGACACGGAGCUGGACGUGCAGGCGCGGCCCGCAUUCUGUCGGCAGGACAUGGAGUAGCUAGUGGCGGACGCGGCGGAGCUCGAGCUCCCGCCGGUGUCCACGUGCGAGCAAUGGCGAUGCAGAGCGUGAGAUCCUCCUCAUCCGGCGUGUCGCUGCUCGAUCUGCCGUCCACCUCCUUCAUGAGUCCGUCCUAGUCCAUGGGAUUGGGUUCGCUGUCGGAGUCCUGGCCGGAGUUAGCCAUGGGAAGGGGAGGUGACAAAUUUGGGAGGAAGCGAAGGCGACGAGGGAAGCGGAGAAGACGAGUAUGGAGUUAGAAAGUGACGGUUUGACUAGGGUUCAUCUGAUGUGGUGGGGUAUUUGUGGGGGCCAUCGUCAGGGGAGGCGCCAGUAGGACAAUCCGAUGUAUGGGGAGUGCCGGUCAGUUCGGUCAUUUGGGCCAGAUAUGGGGAGCCCGGUUGGGUGUCAUUUUUUCGCCCGGACACUGAACUGGCAGCCGUCGGGCGUUUGGGGCAGGUAUGGGGCCCCCGUUGUAGAUGCUCUAACCAGCUAGGUGCCUACCUCUAUCACUUAGUAAGGGCAUCUGCAACGGUGACACCCAAAAUGGACCCAUCGGCAGACGCAUACGAUGAUACGAGAGCAUGCCAUUCAACCAUGCUCGCAUAUAUUUCAGACUGUAUUUGAACGAACCAAACAAAUUACGCAGCAACUGGAUGAUUUCCAUCUAAGCUGGAGCACAUUCAUUACAUUUUUGACAAAUUUCAUUAAAAAUGUGACCAUACCUAAACCUAGACUAAAUCUUAGACGAUGCACGUCCUUCGAGUCUUUGUUGUUCCCAUUCGUUCCCAUGUCGGGCGCGGGUGUCCAUGUCCGAUGGCCAGCUCAGCCCCGCGGAGUAAAGGUGUGUCCGUCGACAAGGAAGAGUAGGACAUGGGACACGAACAUGCUCACAUGACUUGAGGCCUCACUGUCUCCCAUGCCCUACUCCUCGUUGGACUACACGACAUGUCCAUCACUAGUGCAUGUGAGGCCGAUCAUGUACGUGGAUGGGCCGGACUCGUUGAUGUGCCCGUUCCAUUGAAGCAUCAUUGGUGGCGUGAAUGACACGCAACUAUGUUCUAGUCCAUGAUCGCCAGCGCUGCCAGCACCGCCAAUGUUUCCGACUACGCCGUGACCGCAUUACAGGCGGCGCGCGGCCUCGUACAGCCCACGCUACUCAGAGAUGAAGUUGGGGUUCCCCACGGCCAUGGCCACCAUGACCUUCUUGCUCUCGAGCUCAUCAUAGAUUUGGCCCUCCACCCAGCUGUGUUGCUCGAGGUGAGAGAGGCUGUGUCACUGGUCCUCAUGGGCCGGCGGAAACACCGACAAUGGUUGCGGUGCCGGCUGCUCCUCCGCCAUGGUGUUAUUGACUGAAGUGCACAUGUGUUUAUCGGAAUCGGGGCUCCGGGGACCCUAAGGUUCGUAACUCUAGGGUGCACUCAUUCCUAACGCCCUAUCCUACCUUGCAGCUAGCUACAGCGAGAGUGAGCUAGCGGAAGCAGAUAAGAGACACAACAGUUACACAGGUUCGGGCCACCUUGAAGUGUAAAACCCUACUCUUGCUUGGUGGUUGGAUUGCACCGACGAAAGAGCUCGAGUACAAGUGUUGGGGGGAGAAUCGUCUACCUCCUCUACGGCGGCACCCUGCCCUCCUUUUAUACAUGCCUUGGUCCUCUUCCCCCAAAAGCAUUGGAGGGAAGGGUUGCCACACAAUGACAAUUUUGAAGGGGGGCAUGGGCGCAGUCUAUCCUGACAAAAGGUGAUCUUCGCUUGCAAAGCCGCCGUCCAUGACACGCCGGUGGGCUCGGUGAUGACCUCAGCCCUACGCGCCCAUCGUCUUGGGGAUCGCUUUAGGAAUCGGCGUGUUGGCCCUGCUCCCUUAGCACCCAAGAUGAUAUCCUCCUCAGCGCCUGUUGGCACGAUCUCUGGCGUCGUUCGUCGUUGCAUGUGUCACCCACAUGAAGGCAUGAGGCCGGCGACCGUCUGAGCAGCUCCUUACUUGCUUGCCUCCGCGAGGGGGCCUCGGGAGGCAGCCUUAGGAGACCGCCUUGAGAGGCUCCAGUGCAACCGCCUAGUCAUCUCAGGACGCCUGCCGAUGGGGGCCUCGUGAGGGGUCUUGCUCGUGGCAUUUUCUGGUGGGCCACUGGUUGGACUUUUGUCAUGCGCCGCGCCCUGGGCCGAAGGUAGACAGGCCUGGGUACCCCCGGUCCCACGGGCCCGACAGUAGCCCCUGGGCCUGCAGCGCGCACAACUCUGGCCGUUAGGGGGGGACGAAACAGCACGGGCCCUAACCGCCUACAGGCGAGGCAUGACGCGUGGCGCCCAAUGAGCGGGGGACACCCCCACUUCUCCCAUGACGCCUCGGCAACCGCCCGGACUGACAUAAAUCCUGCCUGCACGCGGCGCAAAGCCAUCAUUGCCUUCCUUGCCCCGCAUCUGCCUUCCUUUUCGUGCACGGUUCCUUCUCCCUUCUUCAGGUCCCCAUCGCCUCCGCCCCAGCUGCUUCGCCAUGGCGUCCCCUAGUAGAAAAAAGAAAGCAACGAGGGAGACGGUCGGGAAGGUGGGGUCGGAGCCUGCCCUGGGCAGGUCCACAAUCAUCAAUGUCGAGGGGCUCGAUAAGGUUCUCCCAAUGACCGCAGCCGCCUCCAACGAAUGGGGGCUACUCGAAUCUGGUCGGCUUCACGCCCGGCCACCGAGCUCGACACUACCUGCAUCAUUGUUCCCCUUCAUGCGCUCUUCAUCGGCUUGCUGCCUUCGUUCUCUGAUUUCUUCAAUGCUAUCCUAUCUCACUACCAGGUCCAUGCCUGGCACCUCGACCCGAACUUCGUUCUUCUUCUUUCUGCCUUCGCCUUCUUGUGUUAAGCCUUCACGGGCAUCCCCCUUCGGUGGCCCUGCUUCGCCAUUUUUUUAGCAUGCGGUUGACCGCGGUGAACCAACGGUCCGGAUGCUUAUCACUCUGCAUCGCGGAGGACACGAUAGGCGAUGGCAUCAACAUGGAGCUUGCCCAUGAGGCGGAGGGCUUUAGGCGGCAAUGGGUGUACGUGGACACAACCCAAUUCAACCUCCUACUGCUGAUUCCGACGUCCCUAGCGGCGAGGAGCUCUGGAUGGGAGCACGAGAGUCUCGUCGACCCGAGACAAAAACAUGUGUGGAAGAGGUUUGCCGUCCUGAGGGCGGCAGGGAUAAAGAUGGUCACGGUCGUGAGGGAGUUCCUCCAUUGGCGCAUUGCCCCCUUCAGCGUCACUCCUGCACGAUUUGGACUUUCACUGGCCUGGAGGACCCAAUGCGGCUGCAAAAGGGUAGCCUGCCGCCGGAGGUGUUGAGUGGGGUGCUUUGCAUCUUGACCGGGGAGGAAGAAGCAGCCGAGCCUCCCAAGGCGGGGCUCCUCUUGUAUCGUUAUCGGAACAAGGAGGUGUUUGUCGGUGUGAUGCCACGCUUUGACCAGUGGGGUCCCCUUUCGGAGGGCCACGAGGGGCCCCGGGAGAACCCCUUCCUGGUGGUCCCUUACUUGGGAGGUCGUGAGGAUGGCAAGGCCUCGAGGGGUGUCACGGGGGACGCCUGAGGGCCAUGCCAUCAGGCUAGCGACCCGCAUGCAGCACAGCUAGAAGCGCCGACGGCAUCGUCCAUCCUGAGGCUGCGCCCUCCAGGCUCAGGGCGAUGGGGGCGGAAGUGGGCCUCUGGUGGCGACGACAGCGAGGUAGCGGGCCACCAGGGACGAUGUCGAGGGUCAGCCCUAUGCCCCCCAUGCAACGGAGACCAGCGCCAAAGCUAGGGUCACCGGUCCCAUGGGCCCCCUUCGCGGGGCUAACCGCAAGAAGAGGCUUCACGCGGGCAACAGUGGCGGGGUCCUGCUGUGGUCGCCGAAGAAGAGGAAGUGGGUCGCCAAGGAUGAGUAAGUGUUCACCUCCCCCUCUUUGUACCCAUCAAGCCUCGUGUGCCUUAGUGUUUGCCCCGCGUAGGUCCUCCUCGAACAAGAAGAAGGAGAUGGAGCCACCUGGAUUGGCGGGGAGCGCAUCACCGUUUGUCGCACCUGUGAGGCACGUGGAGUCCACUCACCGCCCACUCGUUGGCGCUGAGCCCACGCAAGGGGAAGCGCACGCAGCUCCUCCUGAGGUGCCCCGGGAUGCAGCUUUGCGGCCCUCGAAGCGCCUGCCACCGGUUCUGGCGCUACGGCAGUGGAGGUGGAGACACAAGUCGUCGGCCCAUGCCCAGCCGAAGAUGAAGGUUGCUCAAGGAGCCUCGGUGGGUUACCGGAGCGCGAGGAGGAGCCCAGUUCACUUGGCGUCCUGCCCCAACAAGUCAGGGAGGCGAAAGUCCCCACGGACCCCAUGCCCCAGCCCAGCGGCGCUGAGCCUUCACAUGCAGCGGAGGCUGAGGGCGGCGAAGGGCCGACCCGGACUGGGCUCUGGCUCUCGUGAACAGUUGCUCCCUUAUCAGGCGCGGGGUCCUGGAGAGCGCCAUGACCGCAGUAGGCCGGCUCAAGGCGGAGCUUCCGGGUGUCGAGGCGCGGCUCGCUGAAGAGUGCCUUUGCCUGGCCCACGGGUGGGAUGAACUUGAAGUUGCCGUCAAUUUGGGCCAUAGCCAGCACGAGUCCGCCCAUGCGAGGGGCGGGAAGUCCGCCGCGGAAGCGCGGGAGACUAGUGAGCGCACCUUACGGGAAGUCGAGGCGGCAAUCCGGCUGCGUGAGGCGGUGGAGGCCCGCGAGCAGGAACUCUAAAAUCAAAUCGCUGCACUGGAGCAUCAGCUGCAGGCCGGCGGGACGCCUUCUCCGCCUGCGAGGAGGAACUGGAAAUUCGCGAGGCGGACCUUGAGGUCCGCGAGUGCGACCUCACACUUAUGUCAUAUGCGCAUGACUUGGAGUGCGAGCGGAUGGAGGUGUUGGACCGUGAGGUAGCCGCCGCCCAAGCCUCUUAUACCCAGCGCCAUGGAGAGGGCCAACACCAACCAGGCAGCUAAGGAAAAGAAGAUCCAAGAGGACACCAACUUGAGGGUCACGCAGAGCCGCAAGGCACUUGCUAAGGAUCAUAGCAGUAAGCUGAAGCUACAGGAAGACCACUUCAAGAUGCGGCGCAAGGAAAUCCAACAUGAGACCGAUGGCUUCAAGAAGAUGCUAACUGAAGCGGAGAACCGGCAAGGGGUCGCGCUGAAGGCGCUGGCUAUCGCUGAGGCCGAGCUGGCCUCCUUGGAAGAGCAGGUGGGGGGCAUCACCGCCGUCAUGGAGCAAGUGAGGGAUGAGGCUACCUAAGAACGGGGACGGCAAAUCGAGAGCUCCAGGAUGUUCCAUGCCCUCGAACUGCGGGCACGCCGCACCCUGGGUUCUAUCUCCAAGGAGGACGUCUCCAGCCCCCUUGAGACCGACGACGCCAACUACCUCACGUUCUUUACCAAGAUCAUGGAACGGCUCGAGGAGAGCGCUAGAAAUAUGGACGGAAUCAUUGAAGAAGAGUGUCGCGAUCUCCUGACCCAGGCGGCAACGCGCAUCUUCAGCCACCUCCUCCGGACCGACCCCAACUUUGACUUUGAGGCGGUGAUUGCUCCAGUCCUAGAGGAGUUUCGCAACGCCCCCGGAAAGGCGGCGGAGAAUCAUGUUGAUGCACUGCAAGCCCAGUUCGCCCAUAAUAGCAGCGACAGUUGAGGCGGAGCUGAGGAAAACGAGGUCACAUCAUUGGUAGCGGCAGCGGCAUCCCGUCUCCUAAGGCCAUUCCUUUGUUAAUUUACUCAUGGUUACCCGUGGCCCCGUAGGGUUGUAAGGACAAUGACUUUUUCUUGAACAUUAAAUGUUGUAAUGGGUGCUUGCACUCCCGAGAAGCUCCUUACCGGGCUUGCUUUUCCUUUUUUUCCUUAUGCUUUACAUCGUCCGGACCCAGCCCCCGAGUGGGCCUCAACCGUCGCUGGUACGUCAGGUCAUGAUGCCCGGACAAUGCCAGGAGGCAAGGGGCCCCGGGGCUAGUGAGCGCUCCUGAGGCGCGAUGCUAUGGGAUCUCCCUUUUGAUGCGCAGGUGGUUCAUGCUAAGGAAAACGCCAGUUCUCGUGAGGCUGCUUGAGAGGGGGCUUGGCUCGGGCUAGCCCCCCCAGGGCAACCACACACGAAAGCUACCCACUAAAGGUUAUGCUAUAAGGGGGCUCCGCACACUCGUUGGUCCACUCAUGAGCAUCUCGCGAGGAGAUGAGACACCAAGGACCUUGGUGGGGGUGGCAUGCACGGGGGCAAGCCGGCGAGCCAGAGCCCGGUUGCCUGGGUUUUUCGGCGCUGCUGGGACCAACCCGAGCACAUGUACCAUUUCCAGCCCCGACUCACGAGGGGCUUAAGAGAGAGGCAGCAAGUGUGUGCGGCUCGUGAGGCGGGAAACCAGCGAAACGCAUUCUGAAUGGAAAACCAAUUAUUUAUUGAAACCAGAUCAUUAAAUUCACUACACAACAAAAAGCGGCUGCCUUGUCCGGCACAUAUCAGAUUGAUGUUGGUGCGGCCCAUGGGCCGCCCUCUACUCGUUGUUCCUCUAGUGCAGAGCAUGUGGGGCUUCCACCGGGGUGUGGGUAUGAUCGUGGUUCGAUCGUUCCGCCAGCACAGAGCAUGGGGCUUCCACUUGGGUGUGGGCAUGAUCGCGGUUCGAUCAUUCCACCAGCGCGGAGCAUGGGGCUUCCACUUGGACAUGGGUGUGAUCACGACUUGAUCAUUCCGCCAGCACGGAGCAUGGUGCUUCCACUUGGGCGUGGGCUAGAGCUCUUGCGUGGCCGUGAGGCGAACACAAUAACAGUCUCCAGGGCGUGUACAGCCCCAUUUCGUUCGUACGCGUGAUGGUCGCGGUUACAACUUGCAGAGGUGUUGGAUGUUCCAGGCGUUGGGCAUAGGAACUCCGUCCUCCGUCUCCAAGAGGGCAACGCCUAGCCUGGAGACAUGAGUGACCCUGAAAGGGCCUUCCCACAUGGGAGAGAGCUUGUGGAGCCCCUCUCUGGAGACGAUCCGACGUAUGUCGAGGUCUCCAACCUCGAGAGUACGAGGGCGGAUGUUGCGGCUGUGGUAACGAUGCAAGGCCUGUUGGUACCUUGCAGCGCGAAGGGCGGCCUGGCGGCGGGCUUCCUCCAGGAGCAGCAGGUCAGCCUCCUGCGAGUCAUCUUGACUGUCUUGUCAAACGCAAGGACUCGCGGGGAGCCAUGCUUAAGCUCCGAGGGAAGGACCGCCUUCGCCCCGUAGACGAGGAAGAAUAGGAUCUCGUUGGUGGGCUUAGUCGUCAUGGUGUGGAUGGACCACAAUACUGACUGCAGCUCAUCCAGACAGCCCUUGCCGCGUGCCUCGAGCUUCUUCUUGAACCUCCUUGUCUUGAGGUCCAAGAGAAACUCAGCAUUGGCGCGCUCAGCCUGGCCGUUGCUUCGCCGGCACGCCACAGAGGCGUAGCAUAUCUGCGUGCCGAGGUUAGCGUAGUAGGACUUGAAGAGGCCACUCAUGAACUAAGAGCCGUUGUCGGUGUUGAUGCGGUUGCAGACACCAAAUUGGCUCACGAGGCCCUUGAUGAAUUUGAUGGCCGAGCCUGUCGGGAUGGUGCGCACGGGCUCGACCUCCGCCCAGUUGGUGAAUUUCUCGAUGGCGACGUAGAGGUAGAGGUAGCCACCAGCCGCACGCAGGAGAGGGCCUAGUAUGUCCAGCCCCCAGGCCACAAAGGGCCGUGAGAGUGGGAUUGUUUAGAGCCACUGUGCAGGUUGGUGGAUUUGCUUGGCGUGGAUCUGGCAGGCUUCGUCAGAUCGGACCAACUCGGGAGUGUCACGGAGCAGUGUGGGCCAAUAGAAUCCACUUAGGAACACCUUACCAGCGAGGGUGUGCGGCGAGGAGUGGUGUCCGCAAUCAACCCCGUGGAUGUCGGCGAGCAGCUCGCAUCCUUGCUCUUCCGAGAUGCACUGCAAUGAAACACCAUUGGGGCGCCUGCGGUACAACUCACCAUCUCGCAAGCAGUAUGAAGUGGCCUGCCGAGCGACGUGCCGUGGAGCAGGUAAGCCUUGAACUCCACAGCCCUGCAGUCUACCUGAGGCUCCAGCGCCAGCAACAAGUGGGCUCCCGAGGUCGGGCCACAGUCCGGCACACCCGUGGAUGGCGCAACGGGAAGCUCUUCGUGAAGUAGCGCUGUGCCGACAGCGGGGGGUGUGGCUGAUGGCCUGAGAGUCUUUUUUCAAAGACGCCUGGGCUCUAGGGCUCACAUCAAAACGCUCGCUUGGCGAUGUCGUCGCUUUCCUUGUUAACGCCGCACGGAUGUGUUGCAGCUCUAAGCUAAGGAAACGCUUAUCAAGUUUACGUACCUCCUCUAGGUAGGGUGCCAUGUGCUCGUCCUUUGGCUUGUAUUAUUUAAUGGAGAAGUUGACAAGGAGCUGAGGAUCGACCUUGAUAGUGAGGCCCUUGACGCCCAGGGCAGAGGUGGCCUUGAGGCCAGCGAUGAGGCCCUCGUACUCCGUGAUGUUUUUGGAGACCUUUUCAUCAUGCCUGAAGCAGAGCUGGAUGGCGUAGUAGAGCUUGUAUCCACUUGGCGAGACGAGCACGACCCCAGCCCCCAUGCCUUGCCUGGAGAAGGCACCGUGGAAGUACAUGACAAAGCCGCUAGGCGCGUCAUCCCCAGGUAGGAGGGAUUUACUCUCGCGAGGCUCUUCCUCAUAUGGAUCCACCCACUCUGCCACGAAAUCAGCGAGGGUCGCUCCCUUGAUGACCCUGGUGGGACAGAACUCCAGCUGGAAGGCCCUCGGGUUGAUGUUCCACUCGGUGACUCGGCGGCGGCAUUGGGGCUGCGCAUGACUUGCUCCAGGGGGUAUGGAGAGAUGACCUCGAUGGGGUGGCCUUGAAAAUAGUGGUGCAACUUCCUGGUGGCGACGAGAAGCAUGAGGAGGAGCUUCUGUUGCAUGGGGUAGCACUCGCGCACAUCCCUUAGUAUCAUGCUGACAAAGUAUAUGGGUUGCUCGAUGAGGCGCAUUGUCACGGUGGCAGCCUGCUCCUUGGGUGGCGCGUGGGGCUCGGGAGGCUCGUGGCGCUCACGGAGCCUGGAGGGAUCAUGGGCGCACGGAAGGCCCGAGGAGUUUGGAAGGCUCGCGAGGCUCGGAAGGAUUUUGGAGCUCGGGGGGCUCGCGAGGCUUGAAGGGCUUUCCUUUGGUGCCAAUUCGCUCCUCUGGCUCCACCACGAGCGCAACACUGGCCAUCUGGGGGGGGGGGGUGGCUGCAAAGUAAAGGAGCAACGGCUCACGGGAGCACGGCGCAACCAUGAUGGGCGGGUCGUAAGGUACCUCUUGAGGUCUUCAAAGGCUGUGUCCGCUUCAGGAGUCCACUUGAAGGGGCGAGUUCUCUUCCUGAGCUUGAAGAACAGCAAGGCCCACUCGGCGAACUUGGGGAUGAAGCGCCCUAGGGAAGCCAUGCACCCUGCCAAUCGCUGCAUUUCCUUGAGGGUUCGGGGGGUGCAUCUUCUCAAUGGCCUUGAUUUUUUCGGGGUUGGCUUCGAUUACCCGGUGAGAGACAAGGAAGCCGAGGAGCUUGCUGGAGGGAACUCCAAAGACGCACUUUUCGGGGUUGAGCUUUAGGUUGACCUUGCGCAAGUUGGUGAACGUUUCCUCCAAAUCCUCGAUGAGUGUUCUCACCUUGCACGACUUGACCACAAUGUCAUUGACGUAGGCCUCCGCGUUCCUUCACAGCUGAGGCCCAGCGUGAUGCGCAUCAACCGCUGGAAGGUGGCGCCGACACUCCUCAAGCCGAAGGGCAUGCAGGUGUAGAAGAACACGCUGCACGGGGUGAUAAAGUUCGUCCUCUCCACGUCUUCUACCGCCAUCUUGAUCUAGUGGUAGCCCGAGAAGGCAUCUAGGAAGAAAAGUAGGUCACACUCGGCGGUAGAGUCCACGAUUUGGUCGAUGCACAACAGCGGAAAGGGGUCCUGAGGGCAGGCUUUGUUGAGUCUCGAGAAGUCGAUGCACAUAUGCUCCUUGCGGCCCUUCUUGGGGGGACGACUGGGUUGGCGGGCCACUCAGGAUGGCAUACCUCUUGGAUGACUCUGGCUUCCUGCAGCUUGUGCACCUCUUGGACAAAGAAUUCUUGCUUCUCUGGCGCCUGACGUCGUGCAUUUUGCUUGAUGGGGAGUGCGUUAGGGCACACCGCCAAUUGGUGCUCGAUCACUUCCCUUGGGACCCCGGACAAGUCAGAUGCCUUCCAGGCGAACACAUCCCAAUUCGCCCGAAGGAAGGUGGAAAGCAUGUUUUCCUACACAGGAGAAAGACCGGCGCCAAUGGUGAAGGUAGGGCCCGAGCCGCUAUCAUCCAGUGACACCUUUUUCAUCUCGGCAUGAUCCUUAGAGAAUAAUUGCUUGUUCUUCACAGGAGCGGCCUCGGGAGACUCGGCCGCAUCCCUGGCAAGCGAGUGCGCAGACACCGCGACCUUGUAGGCACGCCUGAGGGAGCAAACCGCAUCCUUCUUGUCAUCGGCGAUGGUGAUAAUGCCGCUGCAGCCCAGCAUCUUGAUAAUAUUAGAGCCGGGGUGGGUCACCGCCAUGAACUUGGCGAGCGCCGAAUACCCCAGGAUGUCAUUGUACAGCAGGUUGAUGUGCGCCACAUCGAAGUCGAUGAGCUCGGUGUGGUAAUUUUCACGGGUGCCGAAGGUGACAGGGAGGCGCACUUGCCCCGGGGGGCGAUGGACCCAGCGGUCACCCCAAUGACGGGCCUAGUUGGCUUUAGCUGGUUGUAAGGCACCUGGAGCAUCUCGAAGGUCUUGAUGGAGAUCAUGUUGAAGUCGACGCCCUCAUCGAUGAGGGUCUUGGCGACUGCGACAUUGCCGAUGGUGGGGGUGCACAGCAUGGGAAGCGCACCGGCAGCGGCCGCGGACUCGAGGUGGUCCUCGGAGUCGAAGGUGAUGGCACGCCGGGCCCANNNNNNNNNNNNNNNNNNNNNNNNNNNNNNNNNNNNNNNNNNNNNNNNNNNNNNNNNNNNNNNNNNNNNNNNNNNNNNNNNNNNNNNNNNNNNNNNNNNNNNNNNNNNNNNNNNNNNNNNNNNNNNNNNNNNNNNNNNNNNNNNNNNNNNNNNNNNNNNNNNNNNNNNNNNNNNNNNNNNNNNNNNNNNNNNNNNNNNNNNNNNNNNNNNNNNNNNNNNNNNNNNNNNNNNNNNNNNNNNNNNNNNNNNNNNNNNNNNNNNNNNNNNNNNNNNNNNNNNNNNNNNNCUGGACGCAGGGGCCUGUGCUCUAUCGAGCAUGCAGGCCACCGCGUGAGGCCCAUGGUUGCCCCCACCGUGCCAGCCGAAGCUAGCGACAAAACGGCCGCAAAGCUCCUCACGUGAAGAGACUGAAGCUCCUGGGAGGUUCGCAGGCCAGAGGUGCGGGCUGUCGCCGAGGGCCUUGGGAAACCAGUGUGCCAUGACCUUGUCAUCGCCGCCCGCCGCUAGGAUGCUCAGUGCAUAGAGACGAAGAAACUCCGUUGGGUCAAGGGUGCCAUCACAACGCAGGGGUAGCUCUGGUCUGAACCUCACAGGCCAAGCCACCCGGCACAGCUCGCAGGUGAAGGCCCGGUAGCCCUCAAGCUCGCGAUCGGCCCAGUGCUUGGCGAAGUAGAAGGCGGGACAGAGCGGAAGAAUGGCGGUGCACCCCUACCUGGCGCGCCAAAUGUCGAAAUCGGGGAUCCUAAGGUUCGAACUCUGGGGUGCACUCGCUCCUACCGCCCUAUCCUACCUUGCAGCUAGCCACGAGCGAAGCUAUGGCGAGAGUGAGCUGGCAAAAGCAGGCCAUAGACACAUUAGUUACCUAGGUUCGGGCCAACUUGCGGUGUAAAAUCCUACUCCUACUUAGUGGUUGGAUUGCACUGGGGAAAGAGCUCGAGUACAAGUGUUGAGGGGAAGAAUCGUCUACCUCCUCUAUGGUGGCACCCUGCCCUCCUUUUAUACAUGCCUUGGUCCUCUUCCUCUGAAAGCAUUGGCGGGAAGGGUUGCCACAAAACAACAAUUUUCAAGGGGGACACGGGCGCAGUCUAUCCUAACAAAAGGUGGUCUUCGCCUGCAAACCGUCUGUCCAUGACGCACCAGUGGGCUCGGUGAUGACCUCCUCCCUGCGUGCCAGUCGUCUUGGUCUUCUUGCACUGAUCAAGCAACCUUUGGGGAUCGCUUUGGGAACCGGCGUGCUGACCCUGCUCCCUUAGUACCAAAGAGGAAAUCCUCCUCAUCCAUGCCUACUUGAGAUACGUCUCCAACGUAUCUAUAAUUUUUUAUUGUUUGAUGCUGUUAUAUUACCAUUCUGGGAUGUUUACAAUCAUUUUAUAGCAAUUAUAUCAUUUUUUAAGACUAACCUAUUGACAUAGUGCCCAGUGCUAGUUGCUGUUUUUUGCUUGUUUUUUGUAGAAAGUCAAUACCAAAUGGAGUCCAAACGCUGUGAAACUUUUUGGAGAUUUUUUCUGGACCAGAAGACACCCAGUGGGCCAAAGAAGUACCAGAGGGGAGGCCUGAGGUGGGCACAACCAACCAGGGCGCGCCUAGGAGCCCAGGUGUGCCCAGGGAGGUUGUGCCCCCCUUGGUGACCUCCCGCAUCGCCUCUUCACCCUAUAAAUUCCCAAAUACUCCAGAAACCCUAGGGGAGUCGAUGAAACACAAUUCCAGCCGCCACAAGUUCCUGAACCACGAGUUCCAAUCUAAACACCAUCACAGAGGGGUUCAUCCUCAUUGGUGCCUCUCCAAUGAUGCGUGAGUAGUUCACCAUAGACCUACGGGUCUAUAGGGAGUAGCUAGAUGGCUUCCUCUCUCUCUCUUUUGAUUCUCAAUACAAUGGUCUCUUGGAGAUCCAUUUGAUGUAACUCUUUUUUGCGGUGUGUUUGUUGGCAUCCAAUGAACUUUGAUUUUAUGAUCUAUAUCCAUGAAUAUUAUAUGAGUCUUCUUUGAUCUCUUAUAUGCAUGAUUAUUUAUAGCCUCAUAUUUCUUCUUUGAAUCUUUGGUUUAGUUAGGCCAACUAGAUCGAUUUUUCUUGCCAUGAGAAGAUGUGCUUUGUGAUGGGUUCGAUCUUGCGGUGUUCUUUCCCAGUGACAGAAGGGGCAGCAAGACAGGCAUGUAUCGUUGUUAUUAGGGAUAACAAGAUGGGGGCUAUUCCUACAUGAAUAGAUCUCGUUUACAUCAUGUCAUCGUUCUUAUUGCAUUACUUCAUUUUUCCAUGAACUUAAUACACUAGAUGCAAGCUGGAUAGCAGUCGAUGUGUGGAGUAAUAGUAGUAGAUGCAGGCAGGAGUCGGUCUACUAAUUCUGGACGUGAUGCCUAUAUAUUGAUCAUUGCCAUGGAUAUCCAUAACUAUUCGAUUUUCUAUCAAUUGCUCAACAGUAAUUUGUUUAUCUGCCAUGUGCUAUUUCUUGAGAGAAGCCACUAGUGAAAUCUACGCCCCCCGGGUCUAUUCUUUAUCAUAUUUUCUUUGAGAUAUAUUUUUAUUCGCUUUUGUUUUCAGAUCAGUUAUUCCAAAAACCCAAAAAUACCUUGCUGCACUUUUUAUUUGCAUCUUUUAUUUCAUGCUUUAUAAAGAUCUAUUUAUCCAAUCUACCACAAAUUUUAUCCCGUCAACUUGACAAUUUCUGGUGCCGUUACCCAAAUAGGGAUUGACAACCCCUCAUACGCGUCGGGUUGCAAGUAUUUGUUCUUUGUGUGUAGGUACCAUUUACAUAGUGUUGCUUGGUUCUCCUACUGGAUUGGUACAUUGGUUUCACAACUGAGGGAAAUACCUACCAUAGUUGUACUGCAUCAUCCCUUCCUAUUUGGGGAAAUACCUACGCAAUUUCAAGAAACAUCAAAAGGAGUUUCUGGUGUCGUUGCCGGGGAGAGGAAAAUAUUAUUUUCCAUUUGCCUAAUCACAAAUCUCAUCUCCUUGCAAUUUACAUUAUUUGCCAUUUGCCUCUCGUUUUCAUCUCCACCACUUCACAAAACUUUGUCGUUUUAUUCGCCUUCUUUUUCGUUUGUCUUUUUUUCUAGUUCGAUCUUUCGUUUGCUUGUGUUGCCAUGUGUCUUCUAUUUGCUUGCAUCUUCGCUUGCUAAGAUCCUAUUGAUAUGGAUCCUCAUCCACUUGCUAAUCUUUCAAAAGAUCCGAUUAUGAUGAACCAAUUGCUAGUGAAUUGAGUUCACUAGAUUAUCUUUAUGAAGUUUUGCUUGAGAUUCAUGAAUCUGAAAAUUGUGAUGAAGUGUUAAAAGAAGAAAUUUAAAAACUGAUUCAUGAUAGGUCCUUGGAUGAAAAGCAUGAUUGCAAUGAUGUUAGUAUAAAUUCUAUUAAUGUCAAUUGUGCUAAUAAUAUGCAAAACCCCAAGCUUGGGGUUGCUAGUAUUGAUAUGUCCACUAAUUAUUGCAAUGAUUAUGAUUGGGGUGAUAAUGAUUCUUUUGAUCUUGAAAUUUUAUUUAAAUCUCAUAAGGAAUAUGCUUGCGAUAAUAUUAAAAGUGGGUUUGGAAGAGUGUCAAAUUUAGCUAAAAAUAAUCCCACAUAUUUGGAGAGUGUUCAAUCUUAUGAAAUUCUGGAUAAAAGUGGGUUUGGAGAGGUCAUGACUUUAGUUGAUGUUAAUCCCACUAUCUUGGAAGAUUAUGAAACUUUUAUGCACGAGGAUCAUGAAGAGAAAAUUUUAUAUGAUAGCUUAUAAAUUCUGAUGCAUAGGAAGUAUGUUAGACUUAAAUGUGUUUGAUACAUGUUUUAUGAUGCUCUCUUUGCGCUUCAGUUCUUAUCUUUUAUGUGAGCAUCAAUGAAAUGUCAAUGCCUAGCUAGGGGCAUAAAACAAUAACGCUUGUUGGGAGGCAAACCAAUGAAUAAAAUUUAUUUUUGCCUUUUUCUUUCUGUUUUUGAGUGUUUGCACAAUUAUGCUACUAUUAUGAUUGUUUUUAAUGUUUUAAUUUGUGUUUGUGCCAAGUAAAGCCUUUGGGAUCAUGUUUGUUGAUAGUUGAUUUGAUCUGGAAGAAAAACAGAAACUUUUGCAUCCAAUAAAACAAUUGUUUAAAUUCACAGAGGCGACGAAAAAUUCUGAAUUUUUUACGCAAGAUUGAUAUAGAAAUUUCCUACGUUGUCCUAAGUUUUCAGAAUUUUUGGAGUUAUAGAAGUAUACGAAGUUUCAGAUUACUACAGUUGAAGGAAAUAUGCCCUAGAGGCAAUAAUAAAGUUGUUAUUUUAUAUUUCCUUAUUCAUGAUAAAUGUUUAUUAUUCAUGCUAGAAUUCUAUUGAUCAGAAACCUAAAUACAUGUGUGAAUACAUAGACAAACAUAGUGUCCCUAUGAGCCUCUAAUUGACUAGCUCGUUGGUCAAAGAUGGUUAAGUUUUCCUGACCAUGGACAUGAGUUGUCAUUUGAUAAGGGGAUCACAUCAUUAGGAGAAUGAUGUGAUGGACAAGACCCAUCCGUUAGCUUAGCAUUGUGACAGUUCAGUUUUAUUGCUAUUGCUUUCUUCAUGGCAAAUACAUAUUCCUUCAACUAUGAGAUUAUGCAACUCGCGGAUACCAGAGGAAUGCCUUGUGUGUUGUCAAACUUCACAAUGUAACUGGGUGAUCAUAAAGAUGCUCUACAGGUAUCUCCGAAGGUGUUUGUUGGGUUGGCAUAGAUCGAGAUUAGGAUUUGUCACUCCGAGUAUCGGAGAGGUAUCUCUGGGCCCUCUCGGUAAUACACAUCAUAAGAAGCCUUGCAAGCAAAGUGACUACUGAGUUAGUUACAGGAUUAUGUAUUACGGAAUGAGUAAAGAGACUUGUCGGUAAUGAGAUUGAACUAGGUAUGUGGAUACCGACGAUCGAAUCUCGGGCAAGUAACAUACCGGUGGACAAAGGGAAUAAUGUAUGUUGUCAUAACGGUUCAACCGAUAAAGAUCUUCAUAGAAUAUGUAGGAGCCAAUAUGAGCAUCCAGGUUCCGCUAUUGGUUAUUUACCGGUGAGGUGUCUCGGUCAUGUCUACAUAGUUCUCGAACCCGUAGGGUCCGCACGCUUAACAUUCAAUGACGAUUUUGUAUUAUAUGAGUUAUGUGAUUUGGUGACCGAAUGUUGUUUGGAGUCCCAGAUGAGAUCACGGACAUGACGAGGAGUCUCGAAAUGGUUGAGAGGUAAAGAUUGAUAUAUAUGACGAUAGUAUUCGGAUACCGGAAGUGUGCCGGAGGGUACCGGGUACAUAUCGGGUCACCGGAAGGGGUUCCGAGCACCUCCGACAAAAGAUAUGGGCCGAAUGGGCCAAGAGGGGAAACACAACAGCUAGCAGGGGCUGCUGCACCCCUCAUAUGGGCCGAACCAGAGGAGAAGGAAAGAGGGGAAGAGAGAAGGAAGGGGAGGAAUUCGGCCUCCCCUUCCCUUCCCUCCUCCCUCCUCCUUCCUUCCCCCUCUGGAACUUAUGGAAGGGGGGAGGACAAAUUGGGAAGCUCCCAAGUAGGAUUCCCCCUACUUGGGGCGCCCCCUUGCUUCUCCCCUCCCUCUCCCAACUAUAUAUACGUAGGGAGGGGCGCCUAGAACACACAACAACAUCUCUUAGCCGUGUGCAGCGCCCCCCUCCACAGAUUACACCCUCGGUCAUAUUCUCGCGGUGCUUAGGCGAAGCCCUGCGCAGAUCACUUCACCAUCACUGUCACCACGCCGUUGUGCUGACGGAACUCAUCUACUUCCUCGACACUUUGCUGGAUCAAGAGUUCGGGGGACGUCAUCGAGCUGAAUGUGUGCAGAACUCAGAGGUGUCGUACGUUCGGUACUUGAUCGGUCGGAAUGAGAAGAAGUUCCACUACAUCAACCGCGUUGUCAAACGCUUCUGCUUUCGGUCUACGAGGGUACAUAGACACACUCUCCCCCACUUGUUGCUAUGCAUCUCCUAGAUAGAUCUUGCAUGAGCGUAGGAAUUUUUUGAAAUUGCAUGCUACGUUUCCCAAUAGUGGUAUCCGAGCCAGGUCUAUGCGCAUAUGAUAUGCAUGAGUAGAACACAAAGAGUUGUGGGCGGUGAUAGUCAUAUUGCUUACCACCAACGUCUUAUUUUGAUUCGGCGGUAUUGUGGGAUGAAGCGACCCGGACCAACCUUACAUGUCCACGCACAUGAGACCGGUUCCACCGACAGACAUGCAACUAGUUUUGCAUAAAUGUGGCUGGCGGGUGUCUGUUUCUCCUACUUUAGUUGAAUCGAAUUUCACUACGGCCAGUCCUUGAAGAAGAUUAAAACAACAAACUUGAUCAAACACCGUUGUGGGUCUGAUGCAUAGGUAAGAAUGGUUCUUGCUAGAAGCCCGUAGCAGCCACGUAAAACUUGCAACAACAAAGUAGAGGACGUCUAACUUGUUUUUGCAGGGCAUGUUAUGAUGUGAUAUGGUCAAGACAAGAUGUGAUAUACGUUGUUGUAUGAGAUGAUCAUGUUUUGUAAAAGUUAUCGGCAACUGGCAGGAGCCUUAUGGUUGUUUCUUUAUUGUAUCAAAUGCAAACGCCAUGUAAUUGCUUUUACUUUAUCACUAUGCGUUAGCGAUAGUUGUAGAAGCAAUAGUUGGCGAGACGACCACGACGCAACGAUGGAGAUCAAGGUGUCGAGCCGGUGACGAUGGAGAUCAUGACGAUGCUUUGGAGAUGGAGAUCAAAAGCACGAGAUGAUGAUGGCCAUAUCAUGUCACAUAUUUUGAUUGCAUGUGAUGUUUAUCUUUUAUGCAUCUUAUUUUGCUUAGUACGACGGUAGCAUUAUAAUAUGAUUCCUUAACUAUAUUUCAAGGUAUAAGUGUUCUCCCUGAGUAUGCACCGUUGCGAUAGUUCGUCGUGUUGAGACACCACGUGAUGAUCAGGUGUGAUAGACUCUAAGUUCAAAUACAACGGGUGCAAGACAGUUUUGCACAUGCGGAAUACUCAGGUUAAACUUGACGAGCCUGGCAUGUACAGACAUGGCCUCGGAACACUUGAGAUUGAAAGGUCGAACAUGAAUCAAAUAGUAGAUAUGAUCAACAUAGAGAUGUUUGAUGUCGCUUGAAGCUACAUCGGUAUUUCCCCAAAGAGGAAGGGAUGAUGUAGCAUAGCGGUGGUAGGUAUUUCCCUCAGAUAUGGAACCAAGGUUUUCGAACCAGUAGGAGAACCAAGCAAUGCGACGUAAACAGCCCCUGCACACAAAUAACAACACCUCGCAACCCGACGUGUUAAAGGGGUUGUCAAUCCCUUUCGGGGUACGGCGCUAGAAAUUGCGUGAUGAUGCGAGAAAGUUGUAUUAGAUUAAAUAAAUAGAUCACAAAUAAAAUAAAGUGCAGCAAGGUAUUUUGUAUUUUUGGUUUAAUAGAUCUGAAUAAAAAUGCAAAGGAAAAAUAGAUCGCAACAAAUAUAUGAGAAAGAAGACCCGGGGGCCGUAGGUUUCACUAGUGGCUUCUCUCAAGAAAAAUAGCAAACAGUGGGUAAACAAAUUACUUUUGGGCAAUUGAUAGAACUUCAAAUAAUUAUGACGAUAUCCAGGCAAUGAUCAUUACAUAUGCAUCACGUCCAAGAUUAGUAGACCGACUCCUGCCUGCAUCUACUACUAUUACUCCACACAUCGACCGCUAUCCAGCAUGCAUCUAGUGUAUUAAGUUCAUGGAAAAACGGAGUAAUGCAAUAAGAACGAUGACAUGAUGUAGACAAGAUCCGUUUAUCUAUAUGGCGGUAGAUAUAGAUCUUGUCUUUUUAUCCUUAGUAGCAACGAUACAUACGUGUCGGUUCCCUUUCUGUCACUGGGAUCGAGCACCGUAAGAUCGAACCCACUACCGGGCACCUCUUCCCAUUGCAAGAUAAAUAGAUCAAGUUGGCCAAACAAAACACCAAUAUCGGAGAAGAAAUACGAGGCUAUAAGAUAUCAUGCAUAUAAGAGAUCAAAGAAACUCAAAUAACUUUCGUGCAUAUAAAAAGAUAUGACUGAUCAUAAACUCGAAGUUCAUCAGGUCCCAACAAACACACCGCAAAAGAGUUACAUCAUAUGGAUCUCCAAGAGACCAUUGUAUUAAGAACUCAGCGAGAGAGAGAAAGCCAACUAGCUACUAACUACGGACCCGAAGGUCUACAAUGAACUACUCACGCAUCAUCGGAGAGGCACCAAUGGAGGUGGUGAACCCCUUCCGAGAUGGUGUCUAGAUUGGAUCUGGUGGUUCUGGACUCUGCGGUUGCUGGAUGAAUAUUUCGUCGAUGCUUCUAGGGUUCUGGUAUUUUUGGGGUAUUUAUAGAGCAAAGAGGCGGUCCGGGGGCACCCGAGGUGCGCCCUGGUGGGUUAUGCCCCCCUCGGGGCACCCCCCAGGUGCAACAAGGGCCCAUUGCCUUCCUUCUGGCCCAUAAAAAAUCAUCGUGGAGUUCCUUGGCAUUUGGACUUCGUCUGAUAUUGAUUUCCUGCAAUGUAAAAAACAUGGAAAAAACAGCAACUGGCACUUGCCACUAUGUCAAUAGGUUAGUACAAAAAAAUGAUAUAAAAUGACUAUAAAAUGAUUAUAAAACAUCCAAGAUUGAUAAUAAGACAACAUGGAACAAUAAAAAAUUAUAGAUACGUUGGAGACGUAUCAAUGUUCACCAUUGAUGACUACUCCAUCUCACGUGAUGAUCGGACAUGGUUUAGUCGAUUUGGAUCACGUAUCAUUUAGAUGACUUGAGGGAUGUCUAUCUAAGUGGGAGUUUCUUAAGUAAUUUGAUUAAUUUAACUUAAUUUAUCAUGAACUUAGUACUGAUAGUAUUUGCAAAUUGUGUCAUAGAUCAAUAGAUCAUGAUAUAGCUCCCCGUUUAUUUUUGAUAUGUUCCUAGAGAAAAUAAGUUGAAAGAUGAUAGUAGCAAUGAUGCGGACUUGGUCCGUGAUCUGAGGAUUAUCCUCAUUGCUGCACAGAAGAAUUAUGUCCUUGAUGCACCGCUGGGUGACAGACCUAUUGCAGGGGCAGAUGCAGACGUUACGAACGUUUGGCAAGCUUGAUAUGAUGACUACUUAAUAUUUUAGUGUGCUAUGCUUUAUGGCUUAGAACCGAGACUUCAAAAAUGAUUUGAAUGCCACAGAACAUAUGAGAUGUUCCAAGAGCUGAAUUUGGUAUUUCAGACUCAUGCCUGUGUUGAGAGGUAUGAGACCUCCAACAAGUACUUUGCCUACAAGAUGGAGGAAAAUAGCUCAGCCAGUGAGCAUAUGCUCAGAAUGUCUGGGUAGUACAAUCGCCUGAAUCAAGUGGGAGUUAAUCUUCCAGAUAGGAUAGUGAUUGACAGAGUUCUCUAGUCACUAUCACCAAGCUACUAGAACUUCGUGAUGAACUAUAAUAUGCAAGGGAUCACGAAAACGGUUCCCGAGCUCUUCACGAUGCUGAAAUCGGUGAAGGUAGAAAUCAAGAAAGAGCAUCAAAUGUUGAUGGUUAACAAGACCACUAGUUUCAAGAAAAACGGUAAAAGGGAAAGAAAGGGAACUUCAAGAAGAAUGACAAACAAGUUGCCGCUCCCACGAAGAAACCCAAAGCUAGACCCAAGCCUGAAACUGAGUGCUUCUACUGCAAAGGAAAUGGUCACUAGAAGCGGAACUGCCCAAAACAUUUGGCGGAUAAGAAGGAUGGCAAAGUGAACAAAGGUAUAUUUGAUAUACAGGUUAUUGAUGUGUAACUUACUAGUGCUCGUAGUAGCCCCUGGGUAUUUGACAUCGGGUCAGUUUCUAAGAUUAGUAACUCGAAACAGGAGUUGAAAACUGAACAGAGACUAGUUAAGGGCGAGGUGACGAUGUGUGUUGGAAGUGAUUCCAAGAUCGAUAAGAUCACAAUAUCACCUUCAGGAUUAGUGUUGGACCUAAAUAAAUGUUAUUUGGUGUUUGCGUUGAGCAUGAAUAUGAUUGGAUCGUGUUUAUUCUGAUACAAUUAUUCAUUUAAGUCAAAGAAUAAUUCUUGUUCUAUUUACAUGAAUAAAACCUUCUAUGGGCAUACACCCAUUGUAUAUGGUUUAUUGAAUCUCGAUCGUAGUGAUACACAUAUUGAUAAUAUUGAUGCCAAAAGUUGCAAAGUUAAUAAUGAUAGUGCAACAUACUUGUGGCACUGCCGUUUAGGUCAUAUUGGCAUAAAGCGCAUGAAGAAACUCCAUGCAGAUGGACUUUUGGCAUCACUUGAUUAUGAAUCAUUUGAUACUUGCGAACCAUGCCUCAUGGGCAAGAUGACUAAAACUCCGUUCUUCGGAACAAUGGAGCGAGCCAAUGACUUGUUGGACAUAAUACAUACCAAUGUAUAUGGUCCGAUGAGUAUUGAGGCUCACGGCGUGUAUCAUUAUUUUCUGACCCUCAUAGAUAAAAUGAGCAGAUAUGGGUAUAUCUACUUAAUGAAACACAAGUCUAAAACAUUUGAAAAGUUCAAAGAAUUCUAGAGUGAAGUGGAGAAUCAUCGUAACAAGAAAAUAAAGUUUACGAUCUUAUUGUGGAGGCGAAUAUUUGAGUUACGAGUUUGGCCUUCAUUUAAAACAAUGUGGAAUAGUUUCACAACUCAUGCCACCUAGAACACCACCGUAAUGGUGUGUCCGAAUGUCAUAACCAUAAUUUAUUAGUUACGGUGCAAUCUAUGAUGUCUCUUACGGAUUUACCACUAUCGUUUUGGGGUUAUGCAUUAAAGACAAGCCACAUUCACAAUAAAUAGGGCAUCGUCUAAAUCCCUUGAGACGACACCGUAUGAAGUGUGGUUUGGCAAGAAACCUAAGAUGUCAUUUCUUAAAGUUUGGGGUUGCGACACUUAUGUCAAAAGGCAUCAGCCUGAUAAGCUCGAACCCAAAUCGGAGUCUUCAUAGGAUACCCUAAGGAAACAAUUGGGUACAUCUUCUACCACAGAUCCGAAGGCAAGAUCUUUGUUGCCAAGAAUGGAACCUUUCUAGAGAAGGAGUUUCUCUCGAAAGAAGUGAGUGGGAGGAAAGUAAAACUUGAUGAGGUAGUUGUACCUUCUCUCGAAUUGGAAAGUAGUUCAUCACUGUGACGCCCCCGAUUUGACCGUACACUAAUCAUGCACGCAAAUGUGUACGAUCAAGAUCAGGGACUCACGGGAAGAUAUCACAACACAACUCUAAAACAUAAAUAAGUCAUACAAGCAUCAUAAUACAAGCCAGGGGCCCCGAGGGCUCGAAUACAAGUGCUCGAUCACAGACGAGUCAGCGGAAGCAACAAUAUCUAAGUACAGACAUAAGUUAAACAAGUUUGCCUUAAGGAGGCUAGCACAAAAGUAGCAACGAUCGAAAAGGCAAGGCCUCCUGCCUGGGACCUCCUAACUACUCCUCGAAGCCGAACUCCACGUAGAAUCAUCCUCGGGAUCUCUAGCUCCUGGACUCCAGCAUCUGGUUGCGACAAUCAGGUAUAGAAAGGGGAAAAGAGGGACAAAAGCAACCGUGAGUACUCAUCCAAAGUACUCGCAAGCAAGGAGCUACACUACACAUGCAUGUGUAUAAGUGUAAAGGGGCCAUAUCAGUGGGCUGAACUGCAGAAUGCCAGAAUAAGAGGGGGAUAGCUAAUCCUGUCGAAGACUACGCUUCUGGCAGCCUCCAUCUUGCAGCAUGUAGAAGAGAGUAGAUUGAAGUCCUCCAAGUAGCAUCGCAUAGCAUAAUCCUACCCGGCGAUCCCCUCCUCGUCGCCCUGUUAGAGAGCGAUCACCGGGUUGUAUCUGGCACUUGGAAGGGUGUAUUUUAUUCAGUAUCCGGUUCUAGUUGUCAUAAGGUCAAGGUACAACUCCGGGUCGUCCUUUUACCGAGGGACACGGCUAUUCGAAUAGAUAAACUUCCCUGCAGGGGUGCACCACAUAACCCAACACGCUCGAUCCCAUUUGGCCGGACACACUUUCCUGGGUCAUGCCCGGCCUCGGAAGAUCAACACGUCGCAGCCCCACCUAAGCACAACAGAGAGGUCAACACGCCGGUCUAACCCUAUGCGCGCAGGGGUCUGGGCCCAUCGCCCUAUGCACACCUGCACGUUGCGUACGCGGCCGGAAGCAGACCUAGCCUAGUGGCGUUCCAGUCCAAUCCGGCGCGCGGCACUCAGUCGCUGACGUCACGAAGGCUUCGGCUGAUACCACGACGCCGGGAUACCCAUAACUACUCCCGCGUAGAUGGUUAGUGCGUAUAGACCAAAUGGCCAGACUCAGAUCAAAUACCCAGAACUCGUUAAGCGUGUUAAGUAUCCGCGAACGCCGACCAGGGCCAGGCCCACCUCUCUCCUGGGUGGUCUCAAUCUGCCCUGUCGCUCCACCACAAAGCAACAGUCGGGGGCCGUCAGGAACCCAGGCCCACCUCUACCGGGGUGGAGCCACCUGUCCUUUCAGCCCCCUCAUCAGAAUCACUUGCGGGUACUCAACGAGCCGACCCGACUUUAGUCACCACAUGUGUCAUGUAUAUAAUGCAUAUAGUAUAUACCCGUGAUCACCUCCCAAAGUGAUCACGGCCCAGUAGUAUAGCAUGGCAGACGGACAAGAGUGUAGGGCCACUGAUGGAACACUAGCAUCCUAUACUAAGCAGUAGGAUAGCAGGUAAGGGUAACAACUGUAGCAACAAUGACAGGCUAUGCAUCAGGAUAGGAUUAACGGAAAGCAGUAACAUGCUACACUACUCUAAUGCAAGCAGUAUAGAGAAGAAUAGGCGAUAUCUGGUGAUCAAGGGGGGGGGCCUUGCUGGUUGCUCAGACAAGGAGGGGUCGUCUUCGAUGUAGUCGAACACACGAACAUCGGCAGCGGUCUUGGAGUCUACCGGAAAGAAGUAACGGAGGGGGAACACAAUAAAUAAUAGAGCAAUCAAAUGUAACACAAAGCAAGACGCGGCGAUACGUUGUGCUAGGGGUGACCUAACGUAGGGAUAGGUGAUACCGGCGAAAGGGGAAACAUCCGGGAAAGUAUCCCCGGUGUUUCGCGUUUUCCGACAGAUGAACCGGAGGUGAAAUGUUACAGGUUUGCUAUGCUACGGAUGGGUGGCGGACGAACGGGCUGCGUAUCCGGAUUCGUCUCGUCGUUGUGAGCAACUUUCAUGUAGAAAACUUUUUCAUCCGAGCUACGGAUAUUUUUCUAUGAUUUUCCAAAGUUUUAAACAAUUUCUGAAAUUAUUAAAUAUUUGGAAAUUAAUUAGAUAAAGCUACGGGUACACAGAAGUGUACCCAGCACUAUGUACAUGUGGCUUACAGGUUGGUCCACCGGGACCAGUUGACCAUAGUCAACAGUCCUAGUCAGCAGUCAAUUGGGUUGACUGUUGACUAGUCAAAUAUGACAGGCGGGGCCCCAUUGUCAUUGCCUGCCUAUUUAACUACUAGGAUUAGCUUAAACUAACUAAGUAGCUAACAGGUUAAUUAACAUGAUUAAUUGGUUAAUUAAUUUAACUUUUUUUUAUUCUGUUAUUAUUUAUUUUUUCAAUUAAUUUUUUUUAAUUCGUUUAAUUUUCUUAAACGUUUUGGGGCUGGUCCCACGUGUAGUGGCUCACAGGCCAUAGCAGGUGUGGGUGCUGGAUCAGGGCGUGGCCAGCAGGCGGGGUGGUGUUGGGUGCGGGGCCGCACCCACGGCGAGGCGCACCGGCCAGCCACGGGCACCACAGCGCGGCAAGCGCGCGGCGCGGCAAGGGCCAGCAACUGGGGAAGGCAGCGGGCGAUGAGCGGGGUAUGGCUGCGAGCAUGAGGGAGCGCGCCCAUGGGCGUGGGCGGCUGCGGUGAGCGCGAGCUCCAGUGAGCUUGGCCACGGCGACGUACGGCGUCAACGGCGACGGAUCCACGCGAAGGAGGAGGGGGAUCGACGGAGGGCUCACCAGCCCUGUAGUGGUGCAAACGCGUGCUCGGGGAGGGCCGUAGUCACGGGGGACGGCGCGCGCCGGCAACGGGGACGGCGAGGCGNNNNNNNNNNNNNNNNNNNNNNNNNNNNNNNNNNNNNNNNNNNNNNNNNNNNNNNNNNNNNNNNNNNNNNNNNNNNNNNNNNNNNNNNNNNNNNNNNNNNNNNNNNNNNNNNNNNNNNNNNNNNNNNNNNNNNNNNNNNNNNNNNNNNNNNNNNNNNNNNNNNNNNNNNNNNNNNNNNNNNNNNNNNNNNNNNNNNNNNNNNNNNNNNNNNNNNNNNNNNNNNNNNNNNNNNNNNNNNNNNNNNNNNNNNNNNNNNNNNNNNNNNNNNNNNNNNNNNNNNNNNNNNNNNNNNNNNNNNNNNNNNNNNNNNNNNNNNNNNNNNNNNNNNNNNNNNNNNNNNNNNNNNNNNNNNNNNNNNNNNNNNNNNNNNNNNNNNNNNNNNNNNNNNNNNNNNNNNNNNNNNNNNNNNNNNNNNNNNNNNNNNNNNNNNNNNNNNNNNNNNNNNNNNNNNNNNNNNNNNNNNNNNNNNNNNNNNNNNNNNNNNCGCGGUCGUUGCCCCGAUCCAGAUGGGAUCGGGGAGUGGGGGAGUGAGGGAGUGGGGAGGUGGGGGUUAGGGUUGCGGGGUGGGGGGGAUUAUGCAGGGGCGCGGCUGGGCCAGCCCAUCCUGGUGCCCUGCUGGGCCGAACGGCCCAGGGGAGGGGGGGUCUUGCUUCGUAAUUUUUUUUUGCUUUGUUUUGUUCUUGUUUUACUUUUUCUUAUUUUUCUUUUUUGUUUUCUUUUAGUUCCUCUUUUAUUUUAGUUUUAUAAAAAUUAUCACUAGCACUUAAAUUAAUACUUGUAAAUAUACUAUUGCCACAUUAAUUCCCAACUCAAAUUAAAAUAGUUUAAUAUUUUAUAAAAAUCACAAGACAUUUAUUUUAAUAUUUAAACCUCUAUUUUAAUUAUUUUGAACACUUAAACAUUUUAUUAAAGUUAGGUUUCUCCACCAUUAUUAUCUAUGCAAUAUUUGGUUCACUCCGAACAUUUUAGUUUUAAUAUUUGAAAACGUUUAUUGUUUGCUUGAUUUUGAACUUUGAAUUUUGGACCGGUUUUGAUCUAACGAUAGAUUAGCAACAGUAACGGAGGUAACGUGGCACCAUUAGCAGAGUUUUACUGUAGCUUGAUUAUCAGGGCGUCACAAUCACAGAAAACCAUUUCCGUGAUGCCUACACCAACUAGAGAUGAAGCUAAUGAUAAUGAUCAUGAAACUUCAGAUCAAGUUACUACCGAACCUCGUAGGUCAACCAGAGCACGUUCCGCACUAGAGUGGUACGGUAAUCCUGUUCUGGAAGUCAUGUUACUAGACCAUGACGAACCUAUGAACUAUGAAGUGUCACAGCCCUAGAAUAAGGCUUAUAAUUAGUUGCGGCAGUGAGCAUCAUGCAUCAUGUUAAUUUCAAGAAACUUGAUUGAGGAAAGUGGAAGCCUCAAAAAAUUUAAAUAAAGGGCAAGAAACCUGAAAAUGCAUUCAGUCAAUCCAAACUGCCCUGAAAAUAGUUUUGAGAAUUUUGGCAAGAGUUAUAUAUCAAACCCAAAUUUUGGAACGUUUUUAGGGGAUUAUUUGGGCUCUGAAUUUAAAUCGCUAUUGAAUUUGAAUUUGGAUCUAUAUUCUUAAUAUAUGGAAUAUAUUUCCAAAAGUCUCUGAUAUAUUUUAUGUGCCUUUGGAAUAGUCCGGAGAAGUAACAUAAAAUUGUUCAGAAUGUGUUGGAAUUGUUUGAAUUUUGUUUAAAUUCAAAACAAUGGCUAAAGAAAUAAAAAACAACAGAAACAAAGAAAUAUAAAUAAAGAAAAGGACUUACCUGGCCCAACCCCUAUAGCCGGCCAGCCCACCACCUGGCGCUGCUAGUCGUCGUCCAGCUCCUGCUAGUCGGACGCCGUGCACGUGGUCGCCGCGCGCCGGCACGCGCUCAAGCCACCUCCUACUUCUGCCGACGCUGGAGGCUGGCCGGAGACGCCACGCAACCCCCCGACCACUCUGGCCUAUCAACUCCUCCUCUCCCCUCCUCUGCUCUCUCCCUGCAGUGCACCCGAGCGCGCUCGUUGCUGCCACUCGCUGCCACCACGGCUACCGCACACGCCUCGGCGACCUGCCAAGAUGCUCCGCCGCGUCUUCCUUGUCCUCUCCAACGAGCUACGCGACGCCCGAAGGCCCUGCUUCAUCGCCACCACCGUCUUCUUCACCGUCGGCCGCCGGAGAUCCGCCUCGCCGCUUCGCCCGCUCCGAUGCCUCCCCGAGCCCGCAGAGCAGCUCAAAGCAAUCACCGUGAGCUCCUCCCCCGAAUACCCCUCUUCCCUGUCUCGUUUGCACACCGUAGCUGCCGCCUUGUCCGCGACCAAACGCGCCGCCGCCUGCGCUCGCCGCCGCCGACACUCCGGUGACCAUUUAGUCCCAGGCGCGCAUCCAACAUGCUCACCGCCACGCGUAGAGCCUCGCUAGCGCCUCCUUUCUCUCGUCUGCACACCACAUCAUUGAUCUCGCGCACACCCGAGCGUCGGCCACUGCAGCCGAGCUCGCCGACGUCAACUCCGACAACUACUGGCCCGGCCGCCACCACCACUCGGUGCGGACGAGUCUCCGCAACCCAUGGAUGCCCUCGGUGAUCCAUUUGGACGCCGGAGGAGCAACCCCGCAGCCCUCUACUGCGUCUAGCCUUGCCAGCGUCAAGUCGCCACCGAGUUUGACUCAUUUGACCAGGGGUUUGACCUCCCCUGGGCCACUGACAUGUGGGCCUGGCCCCUAUUAACUUUUGGUUAAGUUAUUACCUAAACUUAAUUAACCCACUGACUCACUGACAUGUGGGCCUAGCCCUGCUGACAUUUUAGUUAGGGUUAGCUUAGCGCUAAUUAAUGCAGCUAAUUAGCUGAGUCACUGACCAAUGGGUCCCGCAGGUCAGGUUUGACCUGGCCGACCCAGUUGACCUGCUGACUUCAGCCUUGUGCAAUGCUGAUGAAGUAAAGUAUUUCUGGAAGUAAAUAAAUCAGAAAAUGAUUUAUGAAUUCCAGAAAAUACUCCAAACUUUGAAAAAUCAUAGAAAAUAAUCUAUAGCUCCAAUGAAAAAGAAUUAGAUAUAAAAAAUUAUCAGUAAAAUCCAAGGAAUCUGUUUACUGCAUUUUCAUGCAUGUUUAAAGAACCUAAGGUUGUUGUAUAUAAAAAUUUGCAUAAUUGGCGUUUAAAUAAUCACAUGUGGGGUUGAAUUUGAACCUUGGGUGCUAACCAACUUCAUUUCAAUUGUUGCUAGCUACAUUAGCUCAAUCAACAACAUAUUGCCAUGUCAUAAUCAUGCAUCAUAUUGUUGCAUUGCAUUGAUUGUGUUCCCUCUUGUUUGCCGGUGUUUGUUCCCUCUAGGUAGACGUGGUUCUGACGAUGUGAUCGAUGACACCGAUGAAGAAAUAUUACUAUCUUCAGAAGUGCCAGGCAAGAAAAACCCUCUUGAUCACUCCGAUACAAUCCCACUCUCUCGCUCCUGCUUUCUUUUACUGCAUUAGGACAACAACGAAUCAACUGUUACAUGUUGCGGUAGUUGAACCCUUUUCCUCUGUAUGACCUGUCUUUGCCACAGUAAAUAUUUGAAACCCACUAGCAUGGGUAGGAGUUGUUUGAUCCAUGAUGUGCCUACUCAUUUAUGCUUGCUUGCUAUGCCUGCUAUUGCUUAGAGUUGUGUCAGGUCUGAUUCAUCGGGGAUGAAUUGGAAUGUGGUCAUCAUGUCCUACUGUUGAGAGCUAAGUGAGUGGACACGAUUUGGUAAAGGUAGCGGUGAGAGGCCAUGUAGGAGUACAUGGUGGGUUGUCUCAUUGAAACUGUCCUCGGGAACUGAGUUCUUUGUUUGUGAUCCAAGAACAGUUACUACCACACGUUGGGCCCUGAAAUAUGACCCCGCUCGACUUAUUAACCCCCUGUCCUCUGUCCAGGAGUUCCAAGUAGUUUAUGGUGUUUGUAGCAUGCUAGAGGCUGUGCUUUGCACUGACCGGAGGGGUGGGCUAUCAAGCGGUAGGCAAAGUGGCACGGUGUGCCGAGUCACCCGUUUGGUGCCUCGGGAACCCUGCACACAUCGUUCGGGGCCGUAGUGGAAACCUCGGCCAGACUCCCUGCGGAUGGAACCUGAAUAGGCGAUAAACCUAGACUAGAGACAUGUGUGGUUAGUCAAGUCGUGGUCUACACCCACGUCGGCUUUCGCUUGAAGUCUGCCGAGAACAUGUCGUGUGCAGACGCUAAGUGGUGGAAACAUGUGUGAAGAAGUACACCCCUGCAGGGUUAUGAAUGAUCUAUUCGAAUAGCCGUGUCCGUGGUAAUGGACUACUGGGUUGCUUAUGCAGUUCAUAGACAAGUGAAACUGGAUACUCUAAAACACGCAAGAUAAGCGUGAGUGCUAUGGAUGGCCUUCUCGUAGGGAGACGGGAGCGGAUCCAUAGUGGAGUAUUGAUAUGGUGAACAUGUGGACUCGCGUGUGCCACCUCGAAAGAGUUACCAACAGUUGUAGUACAGGAUAGCCACCGAGUUAAAGCUGGCUUGCUGUAGUUAAACUCCACCACCCCUUUGUUGAUACUGAUGCAUAUGUAGCUAGUUCUGAUGUAAGUCUUGAUGGGUACAUUUGUACUCACGUUUGCUUAAAUUAUGUUUUGCAGAGGAGACUUCAGUCUCACUAGUAGUUCCGCGUGGACUUCGAUGUUUAGCUUGUUACCUCAGCUAUGAUCUUGUACCCUUGGGAGGGUCUUGUAGAUAGUCAGGCUUCUCAGCCUUUUUCAUUUGUAGUUGUCUGUACUCAGACAUGUUAUGCUUCCGUUGCUUGUAUGCUCUGUAUGUUGGGUCAUGUGACCCAUGAUUGUAAUUCUUACUAUGACUCUCCGGAGCCUUCUAAAUAAAUACUUUGAGUCGUAAAUUUUUGUUGUGAUGCCAUGUUGUAUUUGCACAUAUAGAGCAUAUUGUGUAUAUGACUUGGAAUGCUUGGUAUGUGUGGGAUCCGACACUCUAGUUGUUUAUUCUUGGUAGCCUCUCUUAUGGGGAAAUGUCUCCUAGUGCUUCCACCGAGCCAUGGUAGUUUGCUACUGCUCCGGAACACAUGGGAUGAUCGGCAUGUGUCCUUCUUUGCUCCCGUGUCUGUCCCUUCAGGGAAAUGUGACGCGUUGUUCCUUCAAGUCCUUGUAGCUUGCUACGACUUGGGUUCAUACGUUGAUGACUGACACAUGCAUUGCUGGGUCAUGUAUGCAUGUCCCUGUAAGUUAGUGCCACCUUGGGUUUACGACUAGUCAUGUCGGCCCGGGUUCUCUGUCAUAUGGAUGCUAGCGACACUUUUAUAUACGUGAGCCAAAAGGCGCAAGCGGUCCUGGGCCAGGUAAGGUGGCACCCGUGGGGUUACCGUGCGUGAGGCCACAAAGUGAUAUGAUGUGUUACAUGCUAGAUCGGUGUGACUUUGGAUCGGGGUCCUGACAACUUUGGUAUCAGAGCCUGACUGCCUGUAGGAUUACCAAGCCAAACUGGUCGAAGUUGAGUCUAGAAAUGUUGUAGUUAUAUAAGUGAAUUGAUUGUGAAAGGGAACAUAAGGCUCUUUUUACUCCUUUACCUUAUGUCCUUCUGAUCUGAGUCAUCCUCUUCUCUUCUACGGGGAUUAAGAACUAGUCUUUUCAUCUUCUAUGAGGAUCACGUGUUACUAAUCCGUAGACUCUUAGGAUUGUUGGUCUCAAGCCGCAGUUCAGUUUCUACUACUAGAGUGUGAUGUUAGUUCGACUCAAAACCUUGAUAUGAUGUUGUUGAGUGGUUAUGCCACCAUUUUGCAGGAUGUAUCAAAUCUUUUUGAGCAUUUACAGCCGUUAUGCUAUUCGAGUCAUUCCAGGUUUCUAAAUAGUCUGAUGCAUUUGCAAAUCCCUUCCUCUCGUUUACGAUGUCCCUUUGGGCCAGUUUAACCACACUAAUUGGUGAGUUGAGGUACUAUAUUGCCUCGACAUAUAUGUUGGAGCUAUUAUUUUGACCCUAGGUGUCUUAGGGUAUCACCUAAUAAUCUAGCCAUGUUUUGUGUUCCCAGUGUGAUGAUUCUGGCCGUCAUUCUCGAAAGCAUCCCGUGAUGCCAUUUAGAUAGUAGGCAUUCUAUUCCUGGGUUCUUGAAGCCAAGAUUCACCCUACAUACUUCGUGUUGAUAGUGUUUGCUCAUUCCUUUAGGAUAUUAGUAACCUUGUGAUAGUCUUCGAGGUCCGUGGUAUAUCGUUCUUCCAAUACCAUGAACCAAUAUGGCAGAGGUUCUUUUGAACCAAAAGAUCACAACUAGAGUGCUCUUGAUGAGUUCUCCAUUCUACAUUGUGAAUCUGCUAGUCCUACCUCUCUGCAUGGGUUAUCCAGAAGAAAUAUGUUGAAUUUGUUCGACAUACUAAUCUAUGCAUCCACAACUCAGAAAGUUAGAUGUCCCUUUGAGUUGUCCCUCUCAGCUGUAUUCCGACCCAUUUAUCAGUUGAUAGUCAAGAGUAAUGGUGCAUUUGUGUCAUUGAUGCAUGUUAUUCUUGUGGUCUGUCAAGCCAUUCUAUUCCAGAAUGACUAGGAGAAACAAACUCCAACACCUCAUCCAUUUCUUGGAUUGUGUCAAAGUAGUUGUCUUCCACAAAACAAAAUGCCAAUCGAACUUUUGUUUGGUCCUACCUUGGAGUAUUACUAUCUUUAUGUCAAGAAUGUCAUGGGAAUUGCACAACCUCUUAUGAAUUCUUGAUACAGUGAUACCUCCCGCCAUCAUUGUUCUUUCCUAAGUUCCAUGUGUUGUGACCGGAAUACCAACAAGUGAAUCGUGAUGUGUGAAAUCAAUACUCCUAGGAACCAUGUUGCUUGGUAGUUAAUGGGCAAUAAUAUCAUUCUUAACGUGUUGGUUAUUGGAUCACUAUUCUAAGAUUGAUUGUGCUACCUAGUCCAUUUUCUUGGUGCACCCUUCGAUCAAUGAGUUAGGAUUGUAUCAAUCCCUCGCUCUUUUGAUCAUAUCAUCUUGCCUGGAAAGCAAGAUUGUUCUCGAGCUUAAUAACAUAUAGGUGGUUCAUGAUUUUCCGAUGAUCUUCUCGGAAGUAUCACCAGGUUGUUCCCUGACUAUUAUGUUCAGCUCGUUAUCAAGUUGGUUUCUUGUAAGCCACCCAUUCUCCAAGAUUCCGUGUUGGAUACCCUGAACUAGGUGGUUGAGCUAAACAACAACUUGGGGAGUUGGAAGAUGAAAGCUUGUCCCACUUAGUUCAUUGCCAAAGGGAUAUCCUUGUGUUUGUGUGUGUUGAGGAAAGAUAUCGUCAUUGAUUGAUCCUCGUGAUCAAUUGUUGGAUCUAUUGUAUUUUCCAAACUUUGAUUUGAGUGUGGGCUAUCCUCAAAUCAAAUCAGAACCAAUGAUGUUCAUAAUGUUGUCUUACUCGUGGUUGAUCCCUCAAGCAUACACCAUUACAUCUUUUGGUCUGACCAAUGCUAUCAUCGUGUUCACGUAAUUGUGGAAUUCCAUCUAUAUGUAAGCCUUGAUGAAUUGUUGUCGAGCCCAUCGGCAACAUGUUUAUCUUCUCCAUGAUUCAUGUUGAACAUUAAAUCUAGCUUUGGAAACUUUUGUAAGCAUCAUCUUUGUGUUAGCUCGUGAAGUAGACGUUUUGAUGUAAGAAGUGACUUACUCUAAUUCAUGUGCAUUUGAUGCAAGAUGCCGCCGUGAAUUCGAGAAGGCUUGUUUUUACUUCCUCUGGAAUCAUCCCAAGUCAGCCAUGCAUGUGCAAAGUAUUAUGUGGUCUGUUUGACUGAUCAUCUUCAUUCCAUAUGAAUUCUGUAGCACACCAAGCCACUGACUGAUUUGUUCUAGGAAAAGGAGUUAAGUGCUAAUCCAUGGUAACACACAAGACUUCGAUAUCCUCGAUGAUGGUUCCCCACAUGAACUCGGUAGUGUUUCGUUGUAACACUACUGUGUGGUCAUGCUUGUGUGGGACAUCGUGUUCACAUGUGUGUAGCAGAACCAGCUCAUGUUUUGGAGCUUGCUAUUGUAGUUCAUUUUCCGAGAAUCUCGCACCAUCGUCUUGUCGAUUUGUGUUGCAAACUUUCUUCUCCAGACACGAUGUCUGAAAUAUCCCGUUACCAACCAGAUCUGAAUCUCAGGCAGAUAUGAUGGUUGGAACAUUCCCAACAUUUGCAUUUGUCCCCAGAUUGCACCCGCCAUUGUGCCAUUUUACUAUGGUCCGCAUUCUCAGUAAUUGCUAUUCAGGAUCAUCUUCAAAAUUGGUCCUACCAUGGGUCCCAUCCAUUUCCAAUGAUAAGGAAAAAUCACUCAUUGUGUUGUCUUCAACAAGGUAGUCCACAUCAUCCAUUCUAGACUGAGUAUGCCAUUUCUUCGAACUCCUUCAAACGAUCGUUUGUGAAUUGCCUUAGCCUGGUAUGAAGAGUUUCAAUGAUCUUCGUAUCAAAAGUAAUUCUUUUUGCUACUUGAGGAAUAGUUCUACGAGUCACCUUCCCUAAGGUGCCCUGUUACAAAAUCAUGGAAACUAAUCCUCGUUACUUGACACUUAUGUACCAUCUUACUUAUGCGUGGAGUUCCUGCCUACCAAAUUAGACGUUCGCCAUUUGUUUCUUCCUUUUUCUCUCGAUAUGUGUUUGUCUCUCGGCUCAAGAGAUGUUCUUACGUCCCAUUUCGUGAGUUCAUCGUGAGUUGCUCGAUCACUGAGAAGAUAAAUUCUUGUAGGGCUCCUCGUUCCUUUUGUCGUUGUGUUAGAUGGAGUUCUCAGAGCAAGGCGUCGAGACCAAGAUGAUGAAUGAAUCAACGUUCUUAUGAGGUGCAAUUGGAUCUUGAAGACUGUGCCAGUUCCAUGUCCCCUUUGUCUUCUUACCUCACGUCUUGAAUCUCGGGACGAGAUUCUUGUUUAGUGGGGGUGAGUUGUCACAGCCCUAGAAUAAGGCUUGUAAUUAGUUGCAUCAGCGAGCAUCAUGCAUCAUGUUAAUUUCAAGAAACUUGAUUGAGGAAAGUGGAAGCCUCAAUUUUUUUAAUAAAGGGCAAGAACCUUGAAAAUGCAUUCAGUGAAUCCAAAAUGCCCUGAAAAUAGUUUUGAGAAUUUUGGCAAGAGUUUUUAUAUCAAACCAAAAUUUUGGAACGCUUUCGGGGGAUUAUUUGGGCUCUGAAUUUAAAUCACUAUUGAAUUUAAAUUUGGAUCUAUAUUCUUAAUACAUGGAAUAUAUUUCCAAAAGUCUCUAGUAUAUUUUAUGUGCCUUUGGAAUAGUCUGGAGAAGUAACAUAAAAUUGUUCAGAAUGUGUUGGCAUUCUUUGAAUUUUGUUUAAAUUCAAAAAAAUGGCUAAAGAAAUAAAAAAAGAACAGAAACAAAGAAACAGAAAUAAAGAAAAGGACUUACCUGGCCCAACCCCUGUAGCCGGCCCAGCCCAGCCCACCACCUGGCGUUGCCAGUCGUCGUCCAGCUCCCGCCAGUCAGACGCCGCGCGCGUGGUCGCCGCGCGCCGGCACGCGCCAGAGCCAUCUCCUGCUUCCGACGCUGGAGGCUGGCUGGAGACGCCACGCAACCCUCCGACCACUCUGGCCUAUCCACUCCUCCUCUCCCAUCCUCCGCUCUCUCCCCACAGCGCACCCGAGCGCGCUCAUCGCCGCUGCUUGCUGCCACCACGGCCACCGCACACGCCUCCGUGACCCACCAAGAAGCUUCGCCGCGUCUUCCUCAUCCUCUCCACCGAGCUACAUGAUGCCCGGAGGCCCUGCUUCAUCGCCACCACCGUAUUCUUCACCGUCGGCCGCCAGAGAUCCGCCUCGCCACUUUGCCUGCUCCGAUGCCUCCCCGAGCCCGCUGAGUAGCUCAACGCAAUCACCGUGAGCUCCUCCCCCGAAUACCCCUCUUCUCCGUCUCGUUUGCAUGUCGUAGCUGCCGCCUUGUCCGCGACCAAACGCGCUGCCGCCUACGCUCGCCGCCGCCGAUCUGGUGACCAUUUGGUCCCAGGCGCGCGUCCAACAUGCUCACCGCCGCGCGUAGAGCCCUGCUAGCGCCUCCUUUCGAUCUUCUACGCACCGCAUCAUCGAUCCUACGCAUACCCGAGAUCCUUUCAUGCAUGUUUGAACAAUCUAAGGUUGUUGUAUAUAACAAUUUGCAUAAUUGGCAUUUAAAUAAUCACAUGUGGGGUUGAAUUUGAACCUUGGGUUCAAACCAACUUCACUUAAAUUGUUGCUAGCUACAUUAGCUCAAUCAACAACAUAUUGCCAUGUCAUAAUCAUGCAUCAUAUUGUUGCAUUGCAUUGAUUGUGUUCUCUCUUGUUUGCCAGUGUUUGUUUCCUCUCAGUAGACGUGGUUCCGACGAUGUGAUCGAUGACACCGAUGAAGAACUAUUACUAUCUUCAGAAGUGCCAGGCAAGCAAAACCCCCUUGAUCACUCCGAUACAAUACCACUCUCUCGCUCCUGCUCUCUUUUACUGCAUUAGGACAACAACGAAUCAACGGUUACAUGCUGCGGUAGUUCAACCCCUUUCCUCUGCAUGACCUGUCUUUGCCACGGUAAAUAGUUGAAACCCACUAGCAUGAGUAGGAGUUGUUUGAGCCAUGAUGUGCCAACUCAUUUAUGCUUGCUCGUUAUGCCUGCUAUUGCUUAGAGUUGUGUCAGGUCUGAUUCAUCGGGGAUGAAUUGGAAUGUGGUCAUCAUGUCCUACUGGUGAGAGCUAAGUGAGUGAACACGAUUUGGUAAAGGUAGCGGUGAGAGGCCAUGUAGGAGUACAUGGUGGGUUGUCUCAUUGACACCGUCCUCAGGAACCGAGUUCUGUGUUUUUGAUCCAAGAACAGUUACUACCACACGUUGGGCCCUGAAAUAUUACCCCGCUCAACUUAUUAACCCCCUUGUCCUCUGUCCAUGAGUUGCAAGUAGUUUCUUGUUUUUGUAGCAUGCUGGAGGCCGUGCGUAGCACUGACCGGAGGGGUCUGCUAUGAUGCGGUAGGCAAAGUGGCACGGUAUACCGAGUCACCCGUUUGGUGCCCCGGGAACCCUGCACACAUCGUUUGGGGCCGUAGUGGAAACCUCGGCCGGACUCCCUGUGGAUGGAACCUGAAUAGGCGAUAAACCUGGACUAGAGACUUGUGUGGUUAGUCAGGUCGUGGUCUACACCCACGUCGGCUUUCGCUUGAAGUCUGCCGAGCAAAUGUCGUGUGCAGACGCUAAGUGGGGGAAACAUGUGUGAAGAAGUACACCCCUGUAGGGUUAUAAAUGAUCUAUUCGAAUAGCCGCGUCCACGGUAAUGGACUCCGGGGUUGCUUAUGCAGUUCAUAGACAAGUGAAAGUGGAUACUCUAAAACACGCAAGAUAAGCUUGAGUGCUAUGGAUAGCCUUCUCGCAGGGAGACGGGAGCCGAUCCAUAGUGGUGUAUUGAUAUGGUGAAUAUGUGGACUCGCGUGCGCCACCUCAAAAGAGUUACUAGCAGUCGUAGUACAGGAUAGCCACCGAGUCAAAGCUGGCUUGCUGCAGUUAAACUCCACCACCUCUUUGUUGAUACUGAUGCAUAUGUAGCUAGUUCUGAUGUAAGUCUUGCUGGGUACAUUUGUACUCACGUUUUCUUAAUUUAUGUUUUGGAGAGGAGACUUCACUCUCACUAGUAGUUCCACGUGGACUUCGAUGUUUAGCUUGUUACCUCAGCUACAAUCUUGUACCCUUGGGAGGGUCUUGUAGAUAGUCAGGCUUCUCAGCCUUUUUCAUUUGUAGUUGUCUAUACUCAGACAUGUUAUGCUUCUGUUGCUUGUAUGCUCUUUAUGUUGGGUCAUGUGACCCAUGAUUGUAAUCUUACUAUGUAUGACUCUCCGGAGCCUUCUAAAUAAAUACUUUGAGCCGUAAAGUUUUGUUGUGAUGCCAUGUUGUAUUUGCACAUAUCGAGCAUAUUGUUUGUAUGAUUUGAAAUGCUUCGAAGGUGUGGGAUCCGACACUCUAGUUGUUUAUUCUUGGUAGCCUCUCUUAUGGGGAAAUGUCUCCUAGUGCUUCCACUGAGCCAUGGUAGUUUGCUACUGCUCUGGAACACAUGGGAUGAUCGGCAGGUGUCCUUCUUUGCUCCUGUGUCUGUCCCUUCGAGGAAAUGUCACGCGUUGUUCCUUUAAGUCCUCGUAGCUUGCUACAACUUGCGUUCAUAUGUUGAUGACCGACACGUGCAUUGCCGGGUCAUGUAUGCCUGCCCCUGUAAGUUAUUGCCACCUUGGGUUUAUGACUAGUCAUGUCGGCCGAGGUUCUCUGUCAUAUGGAUGCUAGCGACACUAUCAUAUACGUGAGCCAAAAGGCGCAAAUGGUCCCGGGCCAGGUAAGGUGGCACCCGUGGGGAUACCGUGCGUGAGGCCGCAAAGUGAUAUGAUGUAUUACAUGCUAGAUCGGUGUGACUUUGGAUCGGGGUCCUGACUUGAAGAAGCGAUGAUGAGCCCAGAUUCCGCUAAAUGGCUUGAGGCCAUGAAAUCUGAGAUAGGGUCCAUGUACAAGAACAAAGUGUGGACUUUGGUUGACUUGCCCGAUUAUCGGCGAGCCAUAGAGAAUAAAUGGAUCUUCAAGAAGAAGACUCACGCUGAUGGUAAUAUUACUAUCUACAAAGCUCGACUUGUCACGAAAGGUCUUCGACAAGUUCAAGGGGUUGACUACGAUGAGACUUUCUCACCCGUAGCGAUGCUUAAGUCUGUCCGAAUCAUGUUAGCAAUUGCCACAUUUUAUGAAAUCUGGCAAAUGGACGUCAAAACUGUAUUCCUUAAUGGAUUUCUUAAAGAAGAAUUGUAUAUGAUGCAACCAGAAGGUUUUGUCGAUCCUAAAGAUGAUGACAAAGUGUGCAAGCUCCAGUGAUCCAUCUAUGGACUGGUGCAAGCAUCUCGGAGCUGGAAUAUACGUUUUGAUGAGGUGAUCAAAGCGUAUGGUUUUAUACAGACUUACGGUGUAGCCUAUUUUUACAAGAAAGUGAGUGGGAGCUCUGUAGCAUUUCUGAUAUUAUAUGUGGAUGACAUAUUUUUGAUUGGAAAUGAUAUAUAAUUUCUGGAUAGCAUAAAAGGAUACUUGAAUAAGAAUUUUUCAAUGACCUUGGUGAAGCUACUUAUAUAUUGGGCAUCAAGAUCUAUAGGGAUAGAGAGAUGCUUAAUAGGACUUUCACAAAGUACAUACCUUGGCAAGAUUAUGAAGAAGUUCAAAAUGGAUCAGUAAAAGAAAGGGUUCUUGCCUGUGUUGCAAGGUAUGAAGGUCAGUAAGACUCAAAACCCGACCACGACAUAAAAUAGAGUGAGAAUGAAAGUCAUUCCCUAUGCCUCAGCCAUAGGUUCUAUAAAGUAUGCCAUGCUGUGUACCAGACCUAUUGUGUACCUUGCCAUGAGUUUGGGAAGGGGAUACAAUAGUGAUCCAGGAGUAGAUCACUAACGGAAUAUUUCACGGUUAUGGAGAUGAUAAAGAGUUCGUCGUAAAGGGUUACGCCGAUGCAAGCUUUGAAACCAAUUUGGAUGACUCCGAGUCUCAAUCUGAAUACAUAUUGAUAGUGGGAGGAAUUAGCUAGAGUAGCUCCAUGCAAAGCAUUGUAGACAUAGAAAUUUGCAAAAUACAUACAUAUCUGAAUGUGGCAGACCCAUUGACUAAACUUCUCUCAUAAGCAAAACAUGAUCGCACCUUAGUACUCUUUGGGUAUUAAUCACAUAGCGAUGUGAACUAGAUUAUUGACUCUAGUAAACCCUUUGAGUGUUGGUCACAUGGCGAAAUGAAAUAUGGGUGUUAAUCACAUAAAGAUGCGAACUAUUGGUGUUAAUUCACAUGGCAAUGUGAACUAGAUUAUUAACUCUAGUGCAAGUGGGAGACUGAAGGAAAUAUGCCCUAGAGGCAAUAAUAAAGUUGUUAUUUUAUAUUUCCUUAUUCAUGAUAAAUUUUUAUUAUUCAUGCUAGAAUUGUAUUGAUCGGAAACCUAAAUUCAUGUGUGAAUACAUAGACAAACAUAGUGUCCCUAGUGAGCCUCUACUUGACUAGCUCGUUGUUCAAAGAUGGUUAAGGUUUCCUGACCAUGGACAUGAUUUGUCAUUUGAUAACGGGAUCACAUCAUUAGGAGAAUGAUGUGAUGGAAAAGACCCAUCCGUUAGCUUAGCAUUAUGAUCAUUCAGUUUUAUUGCUAUUGCUUUCUUCAUGGCAAAUACAUAUUCCUUCGACUAUCAGAUUAUGCAACUCCCGGAUACCGGAGCAAUGCCUUGUGUGCUAUCAAACAUCACAAUGUAAAUGGGUGAUCAUAAAGAUGCUCUACAAGUAUCUCCGAAGGUGUUUGUCGGGUUGGCAUAGAUCGAGAUUAGGAUUUCUCACUCCGAGUAUCUGAGAGGUAUCUCUGGGCCCUCUCAGUAAUACACAUCAUAAGAAGCCUUGCAAGCAAAGUGACUAAUGAGUUAGUUACAGGAUGGUGUAUUACGGAACGAGUAAAUAGACUUGCCAGUAACGAGAUUGAACUAGGUAUGUGGAUACCGACGAUCGAAUCUCGGGCAAGUAACAUACCGAUGAACAAAGGGAAUAACAUAUGUUAUCAUAACGGUUCGACCGAUAAAGAUCUUCGUAGAAUAUGUAGGAUCCAAUAUGAGCAUCCAGGUUCCGCUAUUGGUUAUUGACCAGUGAGGUGUCUCGGUCAUGUAUACAUAGUUCUCGAACCCGUAGGGUCCGCACGCUUAACGUUGGAUGACGAUUUUGGAUUAUAUGAGUUAUGUGAUUUGGUGACUGAAUGUUGUUCGGAGUCCCGGACGAGAUCACAGACAUGAAGAUGAGUCUCGAAAUGGUCGAGAGGUAAACAUUGAUAUAUAGGACGAUAGUAUUCGGAUACUAGAAGUGUUCCGGAGGGUACCGGGUACAUAUGGGGUCAUCGGAAGGGGUUCCGGGCACCGCCGGCAAAAGGUAUGGGCCUAAUGGGCCAAGAGGGGAAACGCACCAGCCAGCAGGGGCUUCUGUGCACCCAUAUGGGCUGAACCAGAGGGGAAGCAAAGAGGGGAAGAGAGAAGGAAGCGGAGGGAUUCGGCCUGCCCUUUCCUUCCCUCCUCCCUCCUCCUUCCUUCCCCCUAUGGAACUUAUGGAAGGGGGAGGCCGAAUUGGGGAGGCGCCCAAGUAGGAUUCCUCCUACUUGGGGCGCCCCCUUGCUGCUCCCCUCCCUCUCCCACCUAUAUGUACAUGGGGAGGGGGCACCUAGAACACACAACAACAUCUGUUAGCCGUGUGCGGCGCCCCCCUCCAUAGAUUACACCCCCGAUCAUAUUCUUGCGGUGCUUAGGCGAAGCCCUGCGCGGAUCACUUCACCAUCACUGUCACCACGCCAUCGUGUUGACGGAACUCAUCUACUUCCUCGACACUUUGCUGGAUCAAGAGUUCGAGGGACGUCAUCGAGCUGAACGUGUGCAGAACUCGGAGGUGUCGUAUGUUCGGUACUUGGUCGGUCGGAACGAGAAGAAGUUCGACUACAUCAACCGCGUUGUCAAACGCUUCCGCUUUCGAUCUACGAGGGUACGUAGACACACUCUCCCCCUCUCGUUGCUAUGCAUCUCCUAGAUAGAUCUUGGGUGAGCGUAGGAAUUUUUGAACUUGCAUGCUACGUUUCCCAGCAACAGUCUCUUCUGUUUUUGACAAAUUCUGUUUUCUUUGAGUUGUGUGCUUAUUUUGAUGAAUCUAUGGGUUGUAUCGGGGGGUAUAAGCCAUAUUGAAGUUAGAAUACAAUAGACGUAAUUCAAAAAUUAAGUAUGAAUGGGUUUGCAACAAUACUUAGAGUGGUGAUUUGCUUUGUUAUACUAACGGAUCUCACGAAGGUUUUCUUAGGUUUUGUGUGAUUGAAGUUUUCAAGUUUUGGGUGAGAUCACGAUGGAUGAAGGAGUAAGGAGUGAAAAGAGCCUAAGCUUGGGGAUGCCCCAUGGCACCCCGAGUUAUUAUUCAAGGAGAACCAAGCAACUAAGCUUGGGGAUGCCCCGGAAGGCAUCCCCUCUUUCUUCUAACGACCAUCGGUAUUUUACUUGGAGCUAUAUUUUUAUUCGUCACAUAUCAUGAGUUUUGCUUGGAGCGUCUUGUAUUAUAUGAGUCUUUGUAUGUUUUGAUUUUUAGUUUGUCACAAGUAUCCUUGCUGGACACACCUAUUUGAGAGAGCCAAAAUUAUGCUAUGAUUUGUUAGAAUUGCUCUAUAUGCUUCACUAAAAAAUUUUGAGCUACGGAAUUGCUCUAGUGCUUCACUUUAUAUCAUUUUGAGCACGGUGUGCUUUAAUAUUUUUGAAGGAAUGCUCUCAUGCUUCACUUAGAUCUAUUUGAGAGUUAGUAAAUUUUGAAGAAAUUCUCUCAUGCUUCACUUAUAUUAUUUUGAGAGAUGAAAUUUUUUAUGCUCAUGUUCUUCAAUUAAAUUUGUUUGAGCUUAUCAAAAGCAACAAAUGAAAUUAGUCCCAAAGUGAUAGAUAUUCAAGAGAGAUAUGAACAAAACUUUCAUGAAGAUCACUGGAAAAGUUAAACUUGAUUCUUUGUAAUAGUUUUGAGAUAUGAUGAUAGUGAUAUGCGAGUCAUGUUGGUGAGUAAUUACGCUUUGGUGUUAAGGUUUGUGAUUCCGUAUGCAAGCACGAAAGCCAAUAGUUAUGCAAUGAAAUUACAUCCUAUUUAUGGUGCAUUAUUUGGUGUUAGUUAUGCUUAAUGUUUGUGAUUUUUCGUUUCUUGGUUGGUUGAUUCUGAAUCUUUUUGCUAGCCUCCACUUGUACUAAGUAGAAAUACUACUUGUGCAUCCAAAAUAUUUAAACCCACUUUUGCCAUAGGAGUCCACCAUACCUACCUAUAUGCGGUAUUUCCGUGUCGUUCUAAACAAAUUUGUAUGUGCCAUCUCUAAUUUUCAAAAUGAAUUUCCUUUUUGUGUGCUCGUACCGCGCAUGAAGCGCCAGGGGGUGGCCAAUAUUUUACAUGCUAGAUGUGUUAUUCUCAAGAUGAGUGUUUAUUCACUUGUCAUUGCACGAGAGUACAACGGUAAUAGGGAUACUCAAUCCCGAAAUGGAAAAGAAAUUUACUUUAUGUUGUCAAAUAAUAAGUUCCUUGGAAAGUGUUUGUAUGGAAGGCACCCGUGGAUAUGGCUAGCUAUGGAUUGUGAAAGAAUGGUGGAAAAAGGAAUAAACUUUAUUUUCUGUUUGGGAACCACCUAUGAUAUAUCUAGCAUGGAAAGUGUUGGGAAUUACUCAGUCGUUUUUGUUGACGGGAAAAGUAUGCCUCUCAAUUUUUUUAAUCUCUAAAUUUAAUCUUUGAGCUCUGGCACCUCUACAAAUCCCUACUUCCCUCUGCGAAGGGCCUUUCUAUUUACUUUAAGCAAUAUUUAUUUUUAUUUGGGUCUCCAUCUUCUCUUAUAAAGCACCAACUAGGGAGCACUAUGAUCAUACUUGAGCAUUGGAUGUAGUUAAUAUGCGAGUGAGUUUCAUGAAUGGAUCAAUGAUUGAGCAUGAUGGGCUAGGGAUAAAUUUCUUUAGUGUUGAUAUUUUGAAAGAUAUAGUUGCUUAUUGAUAUGCUUGAGUAUUGAAAUCUUCAUGUCAAAACGAGAGUAUUGCUUUGAACCAUAUAAAAGUCCAAAUGUCCAUGCUACAAAAGAAAAUAAGUUGUGAUGAACAUGUUAGGCAACAUUCCACAUCAAAAAAUUGGUUUUAAUCAUUUACCUUCUCGAUGACGGGCAUGAAUUAAGCUUGGGGAUGCUGAUACGUCUCCGACGUAUCUAUAAUUUUUGAUUGUUCCAUGCUGUUAUAUUAUCAUUCUUCGAUGUUAUACAAUCAUUUUAUAGCAAAUUUAUAUCAUUUUUUGGGACUAACCUAUUGACAUAGUACCCAGUGCUAGUUGCAGUUUUUUGCUUGUUUUUUACUUCGCAGAAAAUCAAUACCAAACGGAGUCCAAAUGCAGUGAAACUUAUUGGAGAUUUUUUCUGUACCAGAAGACACCCAGUGGGCCACAGAACUACCAGAGGGGAGGCUCGAGGUGGGCACAACCCACCAGGGCGCGCCCAGGGGGGUUGUGCCCCCCUCGGUGACCUCCCGCACCGCCUCUUCGCCCUAUAAAUUCCCAAAUAGUCCAGAAACCCUAGGGGAGUCGAUGAAACACGAUUCCAGCCGCCGCAAGUUCCAGAACCACGAGAUCCAAUCGAAAGACCAUCACGGAGGGGUUCAUCAUCCUCAUUGUUGUCUCUCCGAUGAUGCAUGAGUAGUUCACCAUAGACCUACAGGUCCGGAGGCGGUAGCUAGACGGCUUGCUCUCUCUCUUUUGAUUCUCAAUACAAUGGUCUCUUGGAGAUCUAUUUGAUGUAACUCUUUUUUGCGGUGUGUUUGUUGGAAUUCGAUGAACUUUGAGUUUAUGAUCAGAUCUAUAUCCAUGAAUAUUAGUUGACUCUUCUUUGAUCUCUUAUAUGCUUAUGGCCUCAUAUUUAUUCUUCGAAUCUUUGGUUUAGUUAGGCCAACUAGAUCGAUUUUUCUUGCCAUGGGAAGAGGUGCUUUGUGAUGGGUUUGAUUUUGCAGUGUUCUUUCCUAGUGACAAAAGGGGCAGCAAGACACGCAUGUAUCAUUGCUAUUAAGGAUAAAAAUAUGGGGGCUAUUGUUACAUGAAUUGAUCUCGUCUAAAUCAUGUCAUCAUUCUUAUUGCAUUACUCCAUUUUUCCAUGAACUUAAUACACUAGAUGAAUGCUGGAUAGCAGUUGAUGUGUGGAGUAAUAGUAGUAGAUGCAGGCAUGAGUCGGUCUACUAAUCUUGGACGCGAUGCCUAUAUAUUGAUUAUUGCCUUGAAUAUCGUCAUAACUAUUCGAUUUUCUAUCAAUUGCCCAAUAGUAAUUGUUUACCCACCAUGUGCUAUUUCUUGAGAGAAGCCACUAGUGAACCCCCGGUCUAUUCUUUAUCAUAUUUGCUUUGAGGUCUAUUUUUAUUCGCUUUUGUUUUCAGAUCUAUUAUUCCAAAAACCCAAAAAUACCUUUCUACACUUUUUGUUUGCAACUUUUCUUUCGUGUUUUAUCGAGAUCUAUUUAUCCAAUCUACCACAAAUUUUAUCCCGUCAACUUGACAAUUUAUGGCGCUGUUACCCAAAGAGGGAUUGACAACCCCACAUACGCGUCGGGUUGCAAGUAUUUGUUCUUUGUAUGAAGGUACCUUCUACAUAGUAUUGCUUGGUUCUCCUAUUGGACCCUUCCUCUUUGGGGAAAUACCGACACAGUUUCAGGCGACAUUAGCUGGCACGGUCUCUGGCGUCCUUCGUCGUUGUGCGCGUCACCCACGUGAAGGCAUAAGGACACGCGACUGGCUGAGCGGCUCCUAACUACUGGCCUCCGUGAGGGGGGCUCGGGAGGUGGCCUCAGGAGACCAUGUCGCGAGAGGGCCUCGCGAGGCUCCGAUGUAGCCGCCUAGUCAUCUCAGGACGCUUGCCGAUGGGGGUCUCACGAGGCAAGGGCCUCGUGAGGGGUCUUGCUCAUGGCGUUUACUGGUGGGCCACUGGUUGGACUUUUUUCAUGCGCCGCACCCUGGGAGGAAGGCAGACGGGCCUGGGUACCCUCGGUCCCAUAGGCCUGAAAGUGUUACUCCCGCAGGAGUUGUUGCACUACAAAAAAAAGACACAUCCGUGACAUUUUGGGCCGAACGAAUUUUUUCCCUAUCAUACUUAUGACACUUCUAUGACGAUAAUUGCGACAAAACCCGGUAUCAUCAUAGAUGUGGUGGGCUACUACUUCUAUGACAAAAAAUCAUGACUGAAAAAUGGGCUUUUCGUCCUGGGCGGGCCGGAGACGCAGCUGCAUGACAUUCUUUGGGCCGUCCAUGACGGAAAAACCCGUGGUAGAAGCGAGGCGAGGAAAAUUUCGGGGAGUUCCCUGUUACGGUGGGUGGUCGGGGGCCGAGCGAUGCGCGUUUCUCUCGUACACGUACGCGCGUGUGUGCGAGGCGUUGGGCUCUAACUGAACCAGAGCGAGGCGUUGGGCUAUAACUGAACCCCAGCGAUUGCACUGCAGGCUACGCGUUACUAAACCCGAGCGAUCGAUCGACGGCUGUUAACUGAACCCGGUCGAGUGAUUCCUUCGCUACUGCUGCUAACUGAAGCCGAUCGAUGUUGCCUGUGUAUGAACAGUGAGCAUUGCUAGGGGGGUUUGGAUGAAUAGUUCCCGGUGGGGGUGGAUGAACAGGACUCCGUGGUGUUUCCUCUGGAUGAACAGGACCCCGAUCGAUCGAGCCGGUUGGGGCCGGAUGAACAGGACCCCGUGGAGGGCUGGAUGAACAGGACCACCCCGUGGAGGGCUGCAUGAAUAGUAGAUGGUGGAGGGCUGGAUGAACAGUAGCCCGUGGAGGGGUGGUUGAAUAGGAGCACGUGGAUAGGGCUGGUUGAACAGUAGCCGGUGGAGUAGCGCGCGGUGGAGGCUGGAUGAACAGGAGCCCGUGGAUGAACAGUCGCAGGUGGAGGCUGGAGGAGGUCGACGGUGGAUGAACAGUACCCCGUGGAGGCUGGAGGGGGUCGACGGUGGAGAUGAACAGUAUCCCGUGGAGUCCCGUUUUGCGGUACGCCAGACCCCUCCCGAUGAACAGGACCCCCAUUUCGACCGUAGCGCUCCAACACAAGUCCGUUUCCUCCGUUUUGCGGUAUGCCACACCCCUCCCGAUCAACAGGACACCGUUUCGACCGUAGGAGGUCCGUUUCCUCCGUUUUGCGGUACGCCAGACCCCUCCCGAUGAACAGGAUCCCGUUUCGAACGUGGUCGGUCGAACACAAGGCUGUUUCCUCCGUUCUACGGUACGCCAGGCCUCGUUUCCAUCGACUGUUCCGUCCAAGCCGGUUGGCUCCCACGCGUUCCGUUGCCUCCCGAUGAACAUGACGCAUUCCAUUGCCUCCCCAUGAACACGACGAUGACGCAGUUUCUCCGUUCCGAACCAGCCAUGUACACGAGCCCUGGCCGUACGUAAGCGCGAGUAGGCAUUCGAGACCCCGCCCGUAUGUACGUACGUGGCCGUAUUUUCUUUCUUGCACACUGGUCGCUGUACAUACGUGUACAUGCUACAUGCGCGCCUCUACAUCGACCAGUAUGUAUGUACAUGUUCGCGACCAGAAUGACAACGCUACGUAUGCUUCGACCAGGUGGGUCCCGACUGUCAGGCACUUCCUUGCGUGCGAAGAUGUAGCUGGUGGGUCCCAGCAGUCAGGGGGCGAAUUGUUUUUUUGCCCGGACGCACAUCCUUGCGUGCGAAGAUGUAGUUGGUGGGUCCCAGCAGUCAGGGGGAAACGUUUUUUUUGCGAAAUACGGUGGCCCGUCCGGUGGGUCCCCGCUGUCAGGUGGAGGAAUAAUUAUUUUGCGCGUAAUAAGGAGGCACUUCCUUGCUGCGGCCGUGGACCCAGCUGUCAGCCUCUCCACGUACAGUCCACGUCCGAUGGAAGCCGUUCCUUGACCACGUUGACCACGCCGCGCCGAGAGCACCAGGGCGGUGGACGACGGCGAGGCCUUGGAAGGGGACGACGCGGAGCCGGGGAAGACGCGGCAGUGGAUGCCCACGCGUAGAGGAGUAUGAGGGUUCACUGGUUCACUGCGGUGUGAGGCUGCCGUCGCCGCAGAAUAACAGGGGGUGUGGGUGAGUAGUGGUGUGGCCUGGCCAGCGGUGGGAGUAGUAGGGGGCGGUGAGGCCUCCGCGGCAUCGCAGCCGGCCACGGGAGGCAGGAGCACGAGGCACGACCGGCGCUGGUUUGGGCGGCUGGAGCAAGAAGACUAGAGGUUGAAGAAGCACUACGGCCGUUGGAUGGACAUCGUACGGUCACUAGAGCUAGAAUCGUUCAUAUUGACUAAGUUGACAAAGCCCUCCGUCCCCGUUAACUUAGUUGGCCCACAAGUCAGCCUCCCACUAUUGUGGGUCCCAGCUAGCAGGGGGUAUUAAUUUUUUUAUGCGUAAUAAGGAGGCACUUCCUUGCGUGUGAAGAUAUAGCUGGUGGGUCCAACCUGUCAGCGGUGGGAAUGUUUUUUUCGCGAAAUACAGAGGCCCUUCCAGUGGGUCCCAGCUGCCAGGUGGAGGAAUCAUUAUUUUGCGCGUAAUAAGGAGGCAUUUCUUUGCGUGCGGCCGUGGACCCAGCUGUCAGCCUCUCCAUGCACAGUCUACUUCCGAUGGUGUCGUUCGUUGACCACGUUGACCACUCCGCGCCGAGCGCAUCCAAGGUGGUGGACGACGGCGAGGCCCCGGACAGCAACGAGCCGGAGAUGGGAAGACGCGGGAGUAGAGUCGCGGACGGAGAGGUGUACGAGGGUUAACUAGUUCUGGUGCGGUGUGGUUCGGCAGUUGGUGUAGAAGAACAGGAGGUGUGGAGGGGUGGAGGGAUGGCCUGGCCAACGGUGGAGUAGCGCUUCACAGCGAAGCGUGCUAAGCAGAGCUGCUAGCAGCAGGAGGCGGGAGCAAGUGGUCCCGGCGGCGCUGGAGGAAGAAGACGAGCGAUUGAAGAUGGAUGCCGGUCGUUGGAUGUAAAUCCAACGGCUAACGAUGUCAGAAUCAUUUGUUGACUAAGUUGACAACGACUUGCAUUGGCUCGACCUAUUGGCCCACAUUUCAGCCUCCAAAAAUGUGGCACGUAUUCAACCCAUUUUUUCAGAAUUUACAGUCUUUUUUGCGGGGUAGAAUUUACAGUCAAUUUGAUCAUUUUUUUUGAAUUACAGUCCAUUAGCUGGGCUAGGUGAACAAAUAAUGUAGCGUCCAUGCGGCCCAUUUAUGUUUUUCCUAAAAAAUUACAGGCCAUUUGCACUUUCUUGAAAUACACGAUUUUGCUGGGCUGAUUCUAAUUAUAAUGUUGGGGUGGGCGCAGCAAUGUUAUCAAAAUAUAAACAGGGGCUGAGCAUUUUGUUAUAUAUAUAUAUAUUUAAAUAAUAACUGAUUUAUUAUUACAUUGGUCCUUAAAUCUUACCAAGCUUUUGUACACAAUCACCAGGAUUUUCGUUGCCAAAAAAAUCCAGGAUUUUAUUGUUACGAAAUUAUUUUUAUAAGUUAAUAAGAUGUGGGAUAUUGUUUUCUUACAUAUGCAAGUAUCUGUUAAAUAUAUGAUGACAAUAACAAUAAUAUAUAAUAACAUAUAAAAUAAUUUAAAUAUAUAUAAUAUAGUUAGAAGGGAAACAUAAGUUGGACCAGUCGUUCCUAUUCUUAUAUAGAAAAAUAGAACAGACCUCUGCGUUUUCUUCAAAAAAAUACAUAAAUUGGGCUGCCAAUGUUUCAGGAAAAAUAAAACGUCGGAUGGGAGGUCCAUAGGCCGGUCGAUACAUGACGGCCCUCAAGAAAAUACAAACAGGCCUAUGGACCUCCCAUCCGAGGUCGUGGGUUGCGCAUGUUAAAAAAGAAAGCAUAGACGGGGCAGCCCAAAACCCAGCUGAUACUUGCUGCCCCAGUGAUAAUAAAUGAUACCUGCCAGCUCCCCGGCUUCGUUGUGAAUUUAUCUUCUAUAGUAACUACGUUGAAGCACCUAAAAAUGUAACUAUGUUGACAAACCCGUGGGCCCCAACGUCAGUAUAGCAUUAGGAGGAAGUAUUUUUUCGAUGAGGCACUUACUUGCGUACGACCAUAGACCUGGUGGGUCUCGACUGUCCGCCCCUCCACGUACAGUCCUCUCCAGAUUCCUCUCAUUUGUUCAGCAUGUUCACAACGGCAGACAGCGGCGUCGCGGCGAGCGCACAAAGGCGCAGGAGGAGAUUCGACCACCUAAGGAAGUGCCUUAUUAGUAACAAAACAACUGAACUAGCCUAGUGGCCGAGUGAAACUACCCGACAGCUGUUCCGUCCGGGUUCGAUUCCACCUGUGCAGAGAAAAUAUCUCCAAAUUUUUUGCCUCAGCCUUUAUUGACAUGUGGGUCCCAAUUGUCAUCUACGCACACCACGUUCAACACUUGCCAAAACUUCGUCCCUCAUUUUCUCUUUUUUUCGCACACUCGACAUUGUGUGGGCAUUUUGAAAAUAGCAUAUCUUUUUGACUGUGCAUCAUAUGAAGAUGUGCUAUGCAUGAAUGUUGAUCAGCAUGAUGUUAACUGGCUGGUAGUUCCAGUUUCGACCAUGAAUAAAACUUCCAACAUGAUGUUAACACUGUUUGAAAAGGCCGUGUUAAUAUAAAUGCUCUGCCUCUGAAAGUUGCAGUUUCUUAUCUGAAACUGAACUUGGAGUUUCCUAUCUGAAACUGAAACUUGCAGUUUCUUCUAUGAGAAUCACAUUGUCUGCACUUUUAUACUCCUAUGAAACUACAUUUUUUUAAGUGCUAAAAAUAGAUCUCUAGAAUUCAUAAAAUACUUCAUAUGCUCAAUAUUGCAAAUCUGAAAUUCAAAAGACAUUCAUAUCUGAAAGUACUCUCAAAAUACACAACACAAAACACAAUUCACAACCUGCAAAUACUAACAACCCUAAGCUCCUCCUGACAAUUCACAACCUGCCCGACUAUUGGGCUGGGGGGGCAGUCCCUCCUAUUCCUCGGCGGUAGACAGCCGCCCCGUGAGAUGAUGUGAAUGGCGAGGGAGAGGAUGGCGGGGAAGCGUCGUCGGGCCAACUGUUUUUCUCGUCUUGCAGUUGGGUUCGGUCGAUGAAGACUCCACCGGCUCGCUCUGGCAUGACACCCUCACAAACGGCACCCUGUAGAUGCUCGAUCCUUCAAUCUCUGGUGGAUGCUCCAUCUGGGAUCGAUACUCCCACCACCGCUCCCUCACGAUCGGAUUCGGUGAAUCUGUUUGCUCCAUGACCCAGAGGAGCAGCUCUAUGUACUCCCGCGCGACUCCCUCCGGGAGUAUCGCCACCUUUUCGCUCUGGUGCAGAUAUUUGGCCUUGGAUGUCGCCGUCGCUGCUAGUUGGUCCUUGUUGUCAAACCAAGACUGUAUCUCCAACAUCCUAGCUAGCUUCACAGGGUCGUCGUCUGCGUUCCUCACGUAUCAGUUGUACUCCUCCAUCGAUCUACUUCUCCACAACACCUUCACUCGCCGGUAGUGGUUUUUGAAUGGAAGAGGAGAGGAGCAGCGCUAGUUUUGGAUUAGAACGGGAGAGGAGCGACGCUG
rnacentral:lncRNA from 1 species